rnacentral:lncRNA from 1 species
GUGAUUCGAAAGUAAAUAAUAUAUGAUUUUUUAAAAUAUAUAUAUAUAUAUAUAUAGUUGAGCUAGAAUACUCUCAAAAGCACCAAGAGAUUGGUCCUUUUGAGUUUUUAACCCUUGCAUGGAGAAAUAUAAGGUUGGGAUAAUGGUGGUAGGUGGUGGUUGAUCCAAGGGAUAUUAGUAAUAAAGGAGUAAAUCCAAGGGCUAGAAACCUAGAAGCACCAAGAGGGUGAAACUUCUAAAGGUAUUCUAGCUCAAUUUUAUAUAUAUAUAUAUAUAUAUAUAUAAUUAGGCUACUAUACUAUCUAUAGUACCGGAGCUCCGGUGCUAUAGUUUUAUUUUCGAUCUUAGGGUGUUCAAAUUAAUGAUCCAUACCGUUAAAUAUGAUAUAGGGUAUAUGAAAUUCUUAGGAAUAAAAUUUUAGUCUUUUUCGACAUCGUUUACUUAAUAAAUAAAUUAUAUCAAAAUGGACGGUGGAAAUUGAAUAUUCUUUAAAAUUUGAUCAUAGGACUUUUGAAUUCAAGAUCAAGAAUGUUAACCUUAAUCUAGAUAGUUUAAAGUAUUUUCUAUCAAAAUGUAAAGAAAUUUAGAUUCUUCUACACCGUUAAACUCCAAACUUGCCAUAGUAGCCAUUGAAAAUUGACAAUUUUGAAAUAGUUUGAUCACAAAGUAAACUAUGUCGAAAAAAUAUAAAAUUUUAUUUCUAAAAACUUUAAAUACCCUAAAUCAGUUUUAACGGUGUGGAUCGUUGAUUUGAACAUCUUAAAAUCGAAAAUGAGACUAUAGUACCAGAACCCCGGUACUAUAGAUAGUAUAUGAGACUAGCUCUAUAUAUAUAUAUAUAUAUAUAUAUAUAUCCGGCCAUUAUACUUUUAUGAAUAUAGAUCUUUUUGUACUCAUAGAUUUUGACAGUUGAUCUACUCCUUUAAACAUUUUCACCCGUUAAAUCAUAUUAUUCAACUAAUUAGCCAUCUAUCCAAGUAUCCAACCCUCUCUUAUUCUAUAUUUUUCCAUCCAAUGGCCGAAAAUAUAUAAGUACAAAAAGGUUUAUNUACCUUUUCGUCUAUAUAUAUAUAUAUAUAUAUAUAUAUAUAUAUAUAUAUAUAUAUAUAUAUAUAUAAUUUUGUAGAUUGUAAGAUAUUAAAAUUAAAAUUUUAAAAUAUUGUAUAGUUUAGAUAAAAUAUAUGUUAGUAUUAGUAUUAAUAAUAAUUUGCAUGCCGGCCGUUGUUGCUCGUGUGGACGAGGACAGGCCUUAAAACCCAAGUCAAAAUAUGACGCUUUUGCCGGCCAAUUAAUCCUCUAAACCCUAAACAAGAUUAAUAUCAAAAUAACUACAACUUAAUUUCCAUUAAAUGUAAUUUUUUUUUAAUUUGGUCUCUAAAACUGCUAUAUUUAGUGCCUAAUGUAGACGUACAUAUAUAUGUAAGCCCAAAUAAAAGCUCCUAUUCUUUUAGUUUUUCAUCAAAUUUUAUGGAUUUUUCUCCAAAAAAAUUAUAGAAUUUUUGGUCAAGGUUGUCAAGGGAUGGUUGAUCUUAGAAACCUAGGACAAGAAUUAGUGACUCCUUAUUAAUUAGUUUGUAUUCUUCUUGGUUUUCCCAUUCACUAUACUCAUUCCUUGUUGCUUCUCUUCUUAUUAUGGGGUUACCUUAUGUAUGCUCUUCAUGGCUCCCCCUCAUCUCAUAAGCUAAUCUCUCUCUCUCUCUCUCUCUCUCUCUCUCUCUCUCUCUUCAUGGGUGACAAAGCAACCUUGGCGAAGGCGAGGCAAGAGCUCGAGGAACUUUACCUCGGCGUCCCCGACGACUCCGUCGACCUUUCGUUCAAGGACCUUCUGAGCUUUCAGCAGAAUGAAGUAGCAGAAAGAAAGACAGCCAACAUCAGCAUGCUGCCAAUUCGCGAAGAACGCACAAUUGACGGUCCAAAAACAAGCAUGAUCAGUAGCUUCGGUAAGUCGCCAAGCUUAGAUUUCGUCAAGGGCUUGCAAGCAGUUCGAGAUCGAGAGCAGAACAUCGACGCGGAACAGGAGUUGCACCGCGAGCGCGUGGCGAGGAACAGCUUCAAGAGGGGCAAUGUUGGAGGGGCUAGGAAUGUGGUUCAUGAGAAUAGCCAAGUGUACAAUGACUUUAGUGCUAUGAGCAUGGUUGGCCCACUCGAAGAGCGCGGAGGACGGCGGCGGCAGGGCAUACCUCACUCAAAUAUCUGCGCUCUUUGUAGCAUCUACAUCUACUUCUUCAGACAUCGUUGCUUGGUAUACGCAAAUCGUUUUUCGAAUGUUUCUGAACUGUUUCUUAUCAAAUUCAUAUCUUUUGCAUAACAUGGUAUCAGAGGCUUUUAAAUCCAAAGGAUUCAUUAGUUUACUAAAGAAUAAAACAACUAAUUUGUUAUAUAUUUUUUUUUGUCGCAAUUGAUCACAGGUAUGUGGAAGAGUUUAUUGUCGACAAUGCGUUCGAAUCGGAAUGGGAGAAAUGAGUGAGGGAAGGAAAUGCACAGAGUGCUUAGGAAGGAGAUUUAGCCAAAGGUCUCCACAUAAUCAAUUUGCUUAAUUAAUGGUUCAUAUAAUUAGUAAAAAUAUGUAAUAAAUGUUGUUGUAAAUAAUUGAUAACAUGCAUUUUGAACUAAAUUCAUGAACUUUAGAAGAAGUACUAUAUUUGCCAUGCAAUUAUAUUAUAUUAUGAUUUUUUUUUAAAAUAAAAGUUUAAUUAUAUCAAGUGUUUCAAUAUUUGAAACAUUUGUAAUAUUACGAAGGCGCAAGGCAAAAGUUAGACGGUAAAAUUAAAAUAUUUUUAAAUUUAAAUAUCUAUUUAAUUUAAUUUUAACCUUUUUUAAGUUCAAAUAAUUAUUUCAAAAUGUGUUAUAGCCGGACUCUUUAAUAUGGCUAGGGCUACUAUACUCUUAAAUUUUGGACUCUUUGAUGAAGGAGUGUGCGGUUAGAAUGAUAGCGGACUCCUAGUAUUAAGUGGGUGGUUGGUUGAAUGGUAUGAUCAAAUGGAUGUAAAUAAUCAAAGGGAUAGAUUUAACGGCCGAAAACUUAUGAAUACGAAGAAACCUAUACUCAUAAGAGUAUAGUAGCCGGACUCUAUUUAAUAUAUGAUCUUUUAUACAUAGGUACAUCGAACGCGCGGGGAAGAUGGGGUGUUGCUGGCAAUAUCCGGGCGAGGUGAAGCUCCAGGAGCUGAUAUGGGCGGAGAAGGGGCCGCGACGGAGCGGCGAGAGGAGGGGCAGAGCCGAUGGCGUGUCGAGAUCGAUGCUUGGAACACCGACGCGAUCCCGACCGUCGGUUUCGAGAAGCCCGAUGAUCAUGAUGGUUCCCGGAACACCGAGAUCCUUUGUUAGCACUACUAGCCUCAGCUCUUAUGCGAAGAGCUCCACGUUCUCACCUAAUCCCCAUGCAUUUCCUCUCUAAUUAAGCGCAAUUAGGGGAUUUAAAAAUGUUUUUAAUUUAUUUGCUUUAUUAAUUAUUUAGAUAAAUUGAGUUCUUAUAUACGGAGUGUUUAUGCUUAUAUUAUUUUUUUUAAAAAAAUAUUUGUCCGAUCAUUUUUAAUAUGAUCAAUCUUUAAUUUCUUUUUAUCAAUUUACCUAUCUACAUUUUUUUUUUUGAUUGUGUGUGAGGAAAUGAAAGAUAUAUAUGUAAAAUUCUCACUAUCUAUUAAUCAAUUUAUAGAUUUUUUUUAAUAUAAUUAUCGGAUCAAUUUGGUGAGUAACAAUGUUAAUUUCGUACAUGUUACAUGCAUUAUUUUUUAUUCGCCAAACAAUUAUAUAUAUGGAACUAUUGCGAACUUAUUUGGUUUAUAUAUAUGAGUUCCAGAGAUUUUUUUAAAAAAAUAAGUUAAAAACAUCACAAAAUUAGCAGUAAUGGUCAUAAUUAGAUAACGAAUUAUUGAAAUAGAGACUCAAAUUUGUUUUGAACUCAAACAACGAGGCCAUGGCUCACAACAGCCAAAUAUUGGCCCCCUCUCUUAUUUAAUUAAUUAAGACACACACAUAUGCCACUUCACACACACAUAUAACAUAUAUAUAGUGCAAAUUCAUAUAGAACAACUAUAACAACUUAUUCUCACACUCCUCCAUGCAUGCGUACGUACGUGUAGCCACAUGCAGCUCCAAUUCCUUUAAUUUGUAUGCCUCAGUUCAAUCUGCAAUAAUUAACACCCAAUUAAUUAUGAGACUAGAAAAUAUUAAAAUAUUCUUUAAAAAAAAGAAAAAUUAAAAUGGUAGGGAUUAGGUCCAAAUCAUGGCUCUGAUACUAUGUUAAAUUUAAAAAGCUUUGCUUACACUGAGCAGUUAGGGUCAGCGCCAAUCUUGUAGGGGAGGCUGACCCCGCACUGCGCCACGAUCUUGUCGAAGGCGUCGACGGUCAGCCCCGAGUAGGAGGACGCCUCGCUUUUCAGGCACGAGCAGAUCUGGCGGCGCACCGCCGUGGUUGAUGCCACGUCGCGCAGCUCCUUGGCGCCGCUGCAGCACGCCUGCGAUAUCUCGCCGCCGGUGAUGUAGGUCACGCAGGGCCCGACGUAGCUGAUCACGUCGGCGCAUGUGAUCGCCUCGGCCCCGCGGAGCGGCGCCGCGAGGAGCAGGAGGAGAAGGAAUGACGCGGCGAGCGAGGCGCGGCGGGAGGCGGCGGCGGCGGCGGCGGCCAUGUGGUUGUGUGAUUGAUUGAUUUGUAAGGUGUUUGAUGGUGAGAUGAAUGGCUUGUGUGUGGGUGUGAUCAUGAAGGGGCCGGGGAGGGGUUUAUAUAGGAAUGGGUGUGGGUGUGUUUGCAACUUUGCAUUGCAUGCAUGCAUGUGUUAUUGGGGUGGUUGAAGGACUGGUGAAGUAGUGCAAGUACUACAAGAUCUUGUUAUUUAUAGUUUGUGGUUGAAACCCCUAAUUAAUUAAUUCAUUAAUUAAGGUCUCUACUCUCUAACCACUUAAUUUAAGAGUAAUAUUAUCUUCGCUUUUAAGGCUUCAACGCUCCCCGGUCCGUACCCCAUCCAUACACACACACACACACACACACACACACACACAUAUAUAUAGGACAAAUUACCCAAAAAAAAAAAGUUUAUACCUAUUUCACCCACUUAAAUUAGAAUUGAAGUGACGAGCUAGAUAUGGGGAAAGAUAAAUGAAAUGUGAGAAGAAGUAAUUUUAAAAAGUAUUGAAUUUGGUUGGAUCGAAUAAUUUUACUGAAACGGGUUUAUUAGUUGAAUCUUAUUAAAGAGGUUCAAAUUUGUGAAAUAUUAUAGAAUUGGAAUAUAUAUUCAUUAUCGAUUGUACAUAGUGCAGUUGCAUGACUUAAUGGUCGGUAUCUCAGUUUUAAGUUUGAAGUCUAAUUAUUUUACAUUCUAGCUAAUUAAUUCUUGCAUCUCCAAAACUCAAAUCUCGUGGAUUGAUCACAAAUACUGUUGUCAGCACGUUAAUUUCAGCAUUGAUGCAAAAAUUGGCCAAACCUAUAUUUGACUCCAUAGUCAUGUUAUCUGAUUACAUCUAGUUAGCAAAUAGCUGGUAUAUAUUACCAGUAUAAAUUAAUUUUUUUAUUUUUAAAAAUAUUAGUUUAUUGAUUUCACUAUGUUUUUAGUAAAAGGAUUUCAAAUUUAGAUAACAUUAUUUUUUUAGAAAUGUUAAUCAACUGGUCUUUGACUUGAGACCUCGGAUCUUCAAACUCUUAGCCAACUGCGGUAGGUAUAUAUAUGUUUGGAAUAUACAACAUUGAUAUAUUAUUAUGAGAACCAUUUAGUCUUAUUUUUUGUUUUCACCUUUAGGGCUUGUUUAUUUGUUUGUAAGUGUUUCUUAGCUUGAAAAUGAUCACUUCUAGUUGAAAAUUUGAAAUACGGUUUGGUGAAAUUUUUUUCCCACUGUAGCUGCUUAUUUGAUAGAAACUAACUAUAAUUAUCUCACUUUUUAAUUUAUUUUAUUAAAAAAAUGCAUUGCAAAAAGAUGAUGAUAAAAAAUUACAGUUGCUAGUUUUGUAUCAUUUUUUUAAUCUCUUUUCCUCCUAUAAUUGACUUAUUUACAACAAAUCAAAUGGCGAAAGUGGUCAUAUGCGGCAUAGAAAUGAUUUCACUCUCUUUCUCUUUUGGUGAAACAAAUAUGCCGAUAACAACAAUAAAAUAUAGUGGAGCAUUUGAAAAAAAAAAAAAAAAAAAAACUGGAGCUUGUACUGUAAUGGAAAUUAAGUAAAAAUGAGAUUGAUACAUGACACUUCACCAAGAAGGAAUAUUAUUGGGUUUCUUUCCUUUUUUUUUAAAAAAAAAAAAAAACUUGAGUUUUGCUAAACUAUUCAUCUAUUUUUUAUUUUCUUCUUGUUUUUAAAGGGUGGGGCAAUAGGAUCUAGAUGAAGAUCAGUGGAGACGCAUAAAACUAAUGUUUUAAUUGAAUUUUUUUAAAAUUUCAGAAUAUCUAAUUUUUCUAUGUUGUAGUUGAUUUUCUUUGUUGACAAAAUGCUCACUUAAUAAUAAUAGAAAUCGAGUAAUUUGUUUUAAUCAACAAUAUUCUAUUCUCAACUCUUAUAAAAUUUUGUUAAGUAAUUAAUUAUGGUNAUUUUUUUAAAAUUUCAGAAUAUCUAAUUUUUCUAUGUUGUAGUUGAUUUUCUUUGUUGACAAAAUGCUCCAUUAAAUAUAAUUAACGCCUAUAUAUAGCAAUGUCUAUGUUGAUAAUAAAUUAUAUAAUUAAUUGAGUAUCUCACUUAAUAAUAAUAGAAAUCGAGUAAUUUGUUUUAAUCAACAAUAUUCUAUUCUCAACUCUUAUAAAAUUUUGUUAAGUAAUUAAUUAUGGUUCAUGACAAUUGAUCAUUUGACCCUCAAAAUCUCAGGUUUAUUCUUUUUUAAUGCUAAGAUGUAUGUAUUUACGGGUUAUUAAUUAAUUUGAUCUGUGUAUGGCUACAAAUGAAUUAUUAAGAAAAACCAAAAGAAUUUGGGUUGAUUGAAAUGAAUCAAAAAUAGAUUGAAAAUUUAUGUAGGCUUUAGUUUGUAGUGAUUGGUUUUAACUUUUUUUUUAAAACUUCUCCUUUUUUUUUUUGUUUUGCGUGCAUGCAUGGACAUUUGUUGCAUAUAUGUACACCAAAUUAUAUCUCACUGUUCAAGUGUUCAUGCAAAAACGUGGGUGAUCUACACCAACAAUUAACGCCGAUCAAAAACUUGUUGAUCAGGAUCAGACGGUGGGAUUGUUCUUAUUAAUUUAUAGCAUGCACACAAUACAUUUAUACUGAUCUCGAAUAACUCGAUCCUUAUAUAACUUUUUUCUUUUUUUUUCCUUUUUUUUUAUCAAGAUAAAGUAAACUGAAACUUAUUAGAAGUUCAAACACCAUAUAUAUCAUAUAUAUAUAUAUAUCUAAUUUUGGAAGCAUGGUUCCAAUUGAACCAUAAGACGCCACGUGGCGCACUUACAUGAAAAGUUCUAAUGUGCCACGUGGCGCAUUUAUCAUAAUAUAUAUUUUUUAAACUUAUCAUAAUAUAUUUUUUAGUUCACAAAUAUUUUAUAUAUAUAUAUAUAUAUAUAUAUUAUCAUUAUCAUGCGCACUUAUCAUAAGCAUAACUACACGUACCAAAAAAUAACUGCACAGCAGUUUUUUUUUUCCUUAACCGUAUGACAGUUAUUUUUUUUUGUAAACUGCACAACAGUUAUUUUUUUUUUCUUAACCAAACAACAGUUAUUUUUUCCCUAAACCACACAACAGUUUUUUUUUCUUAACCGCACAACAGUUAUUUUUUUUUCCCUUUUUUCUUUGAUUGUGAGGNAUGCAAGCCAUUGCCGCCGUUGACGCUGCCCAAGCCAGCCCUGUGAAAAGAGAGAGAGAAUGAAUGAUAGGGAGAGAGAGAAGGGGGCUAAGAUAGAGAGGAGAAGGGAAGAGAGAGAGAGAGUAGGGGAGAGGAGGAGAGAGAGAGAAAGAGGGAGCUAGCUGGAUGAGGGAAAAGAUAGAGAGAGAGAGAGAGAGAGAGAGGAUGAUCUCUUGAUCAAACCCAGCUGUAACCAAAUAGGGUUCAACCCUGUUUAAUCAAAAAAAAAUCAUAUAUAUAUAUAAUUUUGGAAGCAUUGUUCCAAUUGAACCAUAUGAUGCCACGUGGCGCACUUACAAAAGAAGUUUCAAUGUGCCACGUGGCAUAUAUAUAUAUAUAUAUAUUAUAACCAACUAUUUUAAUUAAAUUAUUAUACAAAUAUUUAAGUAAUUAGAGGAAAUCAUAACCAACUAUUUUAAUUAAAUUAUUAUACUAAUAUUUAAGUAAUUAGAGGAAAUCAUAACCAACUAUUUUAAUUAAAUUAUUAUACAAAUAUUUAAGUAAUUAGAGAAAAUUAUAACCAUACAUACCAAAUUAAUUUAUAACUAUUUUAAUUAAAUUAUUAUACAAAUAUUUAAAUAAUUAGAAGAAAUCAUAACCAUACAUACCAAAUUAUUUAAAUAUUGUAAAAUUUGGUCUUCUUUUUUAUAUAUUUUUUUUAUAUAUAAUAGCUUUACUUAUUUUUAAAUAUUAAAAUAAUAUAAGUAAUAAUUUUUUUUUCCUUAACUGCACAAUAGUUAUUUUUUUUCUUAACUGCACAACAGUUAUUUUUUUUCCUUAACUGAACAACAGUUAUUUUUUUUUUCCCUUCUUUCUUUGAUUGAGGCCUAUUCAACUUUUUAUAGUUUUCUCUCUAUUUCUCUUUGGGGUUUAGGUUUCUAAUGAUCUCUCGCGCGUUUUACUUUUAACCAUUGCAGGAUGAUGCGAGCGGGGCGCGUCAUAGGAAAGAGACGGAGGCGGCGUGAAAAUUGCAUGUGUUUGUUUUAAUUUUAUUUAAGUUUUUGGAUUAUUUAUAUAUAUAUAUAUAUACAACUAUUUUAAUUAAAUUAUUAUACAAAUAUUUAAAUAAUUAGAAGAAAUCAUAACCAUACAUACCAAAUUAUUUUGAUAUUGUAAAAUUUGGUCUUCUUUUUUAUAUAUAUUUUUUUAUAUAUAAUAGCUUUACUUAUUUUUAAAUAUUAAAAUAAUAAAAGUAAUAAUUAUUUUUUUUUCCUUAACUGCACAAUAGUUAUUUUUUUUCUUAUUUUUGUUCCCUUCUUUCUUUGAUUGAGGGCUAUUCAACUUUUAUAGUUAAGUUACAAAUUUUUUUAUCUUAAAAUUAUAAUUUAUUGAUUUAUUACAAGAAAAUGCCAUUAUUUUCUCAAUGUUAUUAUUCAUAUGUAUGAUAGGUGGAGGCGGACUUAUUUUCCAUUUUUAUGCACAAUCUUUCUACAAAAUGUAAGUUUAUUUCAAAAUUCGAAAAUAAUUACGUUUAAUGAUUUGGUCUGUUUGUAAUGUAUAUAUUACCUUCUUUUUUUUUCAGGAUAUAUACCAGUCGCUUUGGACUUCGUCAUAGUAUUGAAAAUUUCGGAGCGCAUAAAUAUUUACCCCUAUCGCAAGAAAUACUUAAUAAUUACUUUUGGGAGGUAUGUUUGAUAUUUAUAUUUAAAUUUUUGAUUGAUUUGUUUAAAAUAAUCGAUAUACAUACAUGACUAAUUAUUCACAAUAAUAAUUAUUUUUUAGUUUAAAAGAAUCAUAAUAUGUAUCAUGCUUCCCAAGUUCUAAAAAAUUACUUUCCAAAUUUAGUCACUUAAAAUUCUUCAAAAAAUAAGUUUACAAAAUUAGUCAUAAAGAAUUUGAAAUAAGAUUAAUUAUAUAUAAAUAAUAAUUAUGUUAAAUUUCUAAUGGAUUUGAACCUUUUACUUCUUCAUUUUAAAAUCUUUUUAUUUUAAAUAAUUUACUUACAUUCUAUGAGUAUAUCAUGAUAGUAUUAUUUUAAUUUGAUUCAAUAAUUUUUCUAAUAAAAGCUUAAUAUGUAAAAAUUAAUAUAUAUUAUAUAAAGUGUCAUAUAAAAGAAUUAUUAGAAACUUAAUAUUAUAAAAUUAAGAAUUUGAAAUAAGAUUAAUUUUCUUCAUCAUUUCAAUAUUGAGUAUUAAAAAUAUAUUAACUAAUAAUUAUAUUAACUAAUGGAUAAACCUUUUACUUCUUCAUUUUAAAAUCUUUUUAUUUUAAUUAUUUACUUCAUUCUAUUAGUAUAUUCAUGAUAGUAUUAUUUUAAUUUGAUUCUAAUAUUUCUAUAAAAGCUUAAUAUGUAAAAAUUAAUUUAUAUUAUUUUAUGAUAAAAGUUGUCAUAAAAAGAUAUUAAAAAAACUUAAUAUGUAAAAAUUAAUAUUAUAUAUUAUAUAAAAGAUGUAAUUAAAAGAUAAAAUUAAAAUCCGUGCAUUGCACGGGUUAGUUGCUAGUUUAUAUUACUCCAAACAACGAGACAUAUACAUAUAUAAUAAAACGACCCAUAUUUAUUCUUAUAUGAUUAUAUAAAGUCAUGCUUGCUCCUUCGAGCACGCAACAUUUAGUUCUCCUCGUUCAACCUCAGUUUAUCCUGCAAUUAAUCAACCAAUUUAGGUAUUAGUAACUCAGGUUAAUAUAUAUGAUAAAUGAUAAACUUCAUUAGUGUAACCUUAAGAUUAUUUUGACCUUUAGGGUGCGUUUGGUUCGCACUAUCUUUUAAAGAUUUCCAGUAAUCCAAUGGGAAUAAAAAAAUAUGACGGUGUUUGGCUAAACGCACUAAGUAAUCUAGUUGGUAAUAUUGGAUUCACUUGGAAAUAAGAUUUACCCGAAAAUACUAAUCUCAUUCCCUUGAGGGAGGGUGGGUAUUCUCAUAUUAAUGGAUUGGGGUAAUCAUAAUAUGUCUAAUCUCUUUAUUUUUUCCUACCCGCCGGCUAAUCGAUAUUAUUUUUCGUUACACUCUAACCUUAUAUCUCUCUUUAAACUUAUUUUUCUCUCUAAAAUUCAACUUUUUUUCUCUCUCUACACUAAGCUUUCUCUCUCUCUCUUUCUAAAAUUUCAACUCUCCCACUCCCUCUAAUUUCGACUAUAUUUUUCGUUUUAUUUUUUUAAUUAUGCUCUCUCUCUCUAACUUAUACUCUCUCUCCUUUUUUUAUGUUGAAACUUUUUGUAACAUUAUCUAAAAUUAAUUAAAUAAAUAAAUUAAUUAAUUAUAUAUUUUUUGUAAUAUUAAAUAAUAUGACUAAUUAAUAUUACCGUGCGAACCAAACAUAGAAAUUUCACAUUCUUAGUAAUAGAAUGAAUAGAAAUAAGAUUCUCGAAUAUUUUUUAUGCCUAGUAAUUUUUCAUAAUACGAACCAAACGCACCCUUAAAUAGAGUAUAAUAUUGUUUGAUGUAGUGUCCGAUGUAGUGGUGCAAUAGGGUAAAUUAAACUUCAAUGGGCGCUCCUUAAUGAGCUCUGCUGAGGAGGACGUCAUAUAUUGUCUAUUCGAGUUCUCUUUUAAUCUGACGAUUAUAAAAUUAAGUUGCCAUGCAAAUUCUCGACUUUCAUGUUUACUAUAUCUUUUUCUAAAAAUGUUAGUUAAAAAUUGCUAGAUGUGACUCGAAAUUGAUAAUCGACUUCAGUUCGAUUGGAAUUUCGACUCGCCGACAGUUUCGUAGUGCGACCAAAUUGAAAAAUAAAAUUAUGAAGGAAAAAUGAAUGCCUGUGAUGGAUAGCGAAGCCACAGUAAAUAAAAGGAUAGUGAUGGUGACGCUAAGAUGAAAGUGGCUGGUGAUCAUAGUUUAUAUAUAACAAUUGAUGGUUAUGUAGGUUACGGUGCAAUGCAUGCAUGUUUUUCAUAGAUAGGUGGCUCUUUAUAUAUAAAAUCUGUGGGAAAGUGAAAAUAGGUAGGGAUUGGGUUAAUUGAUUGGCAAAACUAUUGGUUAUAAACCAGCAUAUUUGUACAUUGAUCUCUUACACCACAUUUAAUAUUUUAUAAUUAAUAAUUUAGUGUUAUCAUUUAAUUUGAUAGAUUCAAUUUAUAAUAUUUUUUAAAAAGAUCGUAUAAACAAAAAUAUAAGUGCUACGUAUUUAUUAACGACAUCUUAAGCGACCGCACGAGAACGAGUCUAUGAAGAGUUGUAAAUCAUAAAGUUAAUUACCUCGUCAGCGAGAAAGUCAAUAACAUAGCAAGGGAUAUUGCUUAAUUUAUUAAAAAAAUCAAGCGUUUAAGUUUAAUAAAUUUUAGUAUAUAAGAUCUACUAAUGCGAAAAAAGAAAAAUUCAAUAAUUUUAUAUCGUGAUUUAUAUGAUAAAAUUUUAGUUGUAACGUGCAUGUAAUUUUAUGCUAUGUUGAUUGAGGCCAGUGGACUAGGUGAAGAAGUACUACGGGUUGGGUAGUAGGUGGUUAAAAAUUUUAGGGUUAAUUUCAUACAAGUCUCUGCAAACAUAUUGAAUAGCAGAUAUAUUCCUGUAAAGUUCAACUUCUAUAAAUUAUUCUGCAAAAGCCCUAAUGUAUUCAUAUAUGUCCCUCUGGUUUGGAUCUGUUAGAGAAUUGUUAAUUUUUUAACAGUAGAGUUGUGAAAUGACUAUUUUAUCCUUGCCCCUUCAUCUUCCUCUUCCUCUUCAUGCUGCGUGAGCGGACAACGGCAGCGCCGACGGCGGCGGCGACGGCGACGGCGACUUCGACUUUGCGGAGCUUGUCGGGGUUGCGGCCAACGAGGACAAAGAAAAGGAGGAAGGCGAAGGCGCGCCGAUGCUGUCGGAGGCGCCCGUGAUGACGGCCCACGCGGGCACCACGACGGCGACGAUGAUCGGAUCAUUGACGGCGACGACGAUCGGAUCAUCGACGACGAUGAAAAAGAAGAAGAAGGAGGAGGAGAAAAGAAGAAGGAAAAUGAGGAUACGAAGAAGAAGAGGAAGAAGAAGAAGUAGGAGAGGAAGAGGAAGAAGAAGCAGAGGAAGAAGAAGAGGAAGCGGAAGAAGAAGAAGGGUAAAAAUAUCAUUUUCUCUUAUUAACUAACAACGGUUAAGUAUUUUUACUGUGUUUAACUAAAUUUUUCUAACGGGUAUUAACUUACGGAAGUUGAACUUUGUAGGGAUAUAUCUGCUAUUCAAUAUGUUUGCAGGAACCUUAAUGAAAUUAAUGCAAAAUUUUAUAUAUUUAUUUAUUUAUUUAUUUAUUGGAACAAGCUCUAAGCUACCGUUUGGUUUGGAGUUAAGGAAAAAUUAGUUAUUCCAGGGAUAGGGUUAAGUUUAGGGUUAAGGUGGGGUUAGAGUAUUUUUAUGUUUGGUUGGGGGUUGGAGUUAGUCCAGGAUAGUAAAAAAUAGUGUUUGGUUGGAGUAGGUGAGAUAAAAAGGAUAGUGGGUUAUUAUGAAUAGAAAAUAGUAUUUGGUUGGGGUUUGGUGGGGUUAGGUGAGGUUAGCUAACCUGGGAUAAUCCAUUUGAGGUGGAGUUAGCUAAUCCCACCCAUUUUUAGAAGUGUUUGGGGAUAAAAUGGGGGUUAAGGGGUUAUUCUGUGUGCCAAGUGUACGGUGGAUGCAAUUCCUUUUUUUUAAUAUUAAAAAAAAUCAUGUUUGGAUUCUUUGGAAGGCCCCAAUUAGAGAUUUAUGCCUGGAAAAUUUUAAUUUUUAAAUAUAUUUUUCCAAGAUUAAUGAUAUGUAAUAUAUAAAUUCAUCACAAUAGUUUACUAUUAUUGGUUGUCCAUUAAACUUAUUUACCAUUAUGCCNUAACUUAUUAAUUACAAUAUAUUUAUUUUAUGGUAGAUGUCAUUCCACUUGAACUAUAAAUUAUAAAUUGUAAAAACAUGUAAAAUCAUAUAUAUUUUUCCAAGAUUAAUGAUAUGUAAUAUAUAAAUUCAUCACAAUAGUUUACUAUUAUUGGUUGUCCAUUAAACUUAUUUACCAUUAUGCCCUUGUUAUUAAAAUAUAUAUGAUUUUACAUGUUUUUACAAUUUAUAAUUUAUAGUUCAAGUGGAAUGACAUCUACCAUAAAAUAAAUAUAUUGUAAUUAAUAAGUUAUUUUAAAUAUAAUUAAGAAUCAAGAAAUAUUUUUAAAGGUGCACUUCAUUUAACCUAUGGGCCUCCUUUUAAAUGGGCCUUGUCACAUACGGCCCAUAUAUUAACCCAUAAGCCCGUAAUCAUCUCCAUUCCCGGUUGGGUUAGCACUGGUCCACCGUGACCGGAAAUUUUAUUUUGCAAUUUAAAAAAAGAGUUAAUUUCAUAGAGUUACUUAUAAAUAUAAAAUAUAGUAAAUUUUAAAUAUAUUCUAUAAAAUUUAAUUUUUAUAUAUUAUUAAUAUAAAAAUUUUAAUAUUUUUAAAUAUAUCUUUCUGAUUUGUUAUCGUUAAAUUAUUAUUUAUUUUACAAGUGAAAUAAUAUCUUUGCAAUCACAAAUAUGCCCCUCUAAAAAUUCCAACGAUUAAUUAAAGAUGGGUAAAAAUAUUAAUUCACCUCAUUAACUAACUAGGGUUUAAUAUUUCACCAAUGAUUAACUAAUUUUUUGUAAUAGAUCAUAACGGCAGGAACAUAUUUGAAAAUAAUAGGAUUUUGCGAGAAUAAUAUAUGAAAGUAAAUUUUAUUAGAAUAUAUUUGUAAUAUUUAUUUUUAUUUAAUCUUAUUUAACUUUAAGAAAUUUUAUUUGAAUAUUUUUGUAAUUUAUUAUGUUUAUAUGGAUCGGGAUGAAAUUAAUCUUUUUAAAAAAAACCGUAAUGCCUUUCUAUAAUUGGAUGGUCUAUAGUGACGUGGUACACGCGGUCGAAUCAAAUUCUAUCAAAAUGUCUUAGUCAUUUCGCACACUCUAUCUCUCUUUCUCUUUUUAACACAAGAAGAAUAAAAUAAAAAAGAAAAAGAAAUAAAUAAAAAAGUGAGGGCUCGUCGCUCUUUCUCUCUCUCUCUCUGCGACGGCGCCUCCACCUCGUCGAACCCUUUCUCCACUCCCAAGAAGAAGAGAGGAGAGGAGAGGAGAGGAGAGGAGGAUCAACAAUGGCGGGGCGAGGUACGGCCAUGGAGGGAGUCUCCUUCUCCGACGACGUCGUCAUCAAGUCCCCCACCGACCGUAGAUCGUACCGGAUUCUCCGCCUCCCCAACGGACUCUGCGCCGUCCUCGUCCACGACCCCGAGAUCUACCCCGACGGCCAUGGCGGCGACGCCCUAGAGGGCGGGGGCGACGAGGGCGAAUUCGGAUCGGAGGAGGACGAGGACGAGGACGAGGAGGAGGAGGAGGAGGAGGAGGAGGAGGAGGAUGACGAAGAGGAUGGGGAGGAAGAGGAUGGUGAUGGCGAUGGAGACGCGGAUGGGGAUGGAGAUGGGAGUGAGAAGAAGAAGAAGAAGGGGGAUUCGCCCACUAAAAAGGUGAUAUGAUCUUUCUUGAGGUUGUACAUUUCUAGGUUUUGCUUCUGACGACUAGAUUCCUUACAUUGCUGUGGUAAGAAUUUUAGGGUUUUCCACACGAAUUUUGUGAUGGUUUAUAGAUGCAUUGUGGAGCUUAUUGUAUGAGUUGGAUGAAGCAUGUAGAGUUAUGGUUAGAAUUGCGGUCAGAAAAUUAAGAUUGUUGCUUGUGUUGUUUUCUUGGUUGUUUUUUUGAGAGAGAGAGGCCUCCCUUGCUGUGAUAAGAGUUUUAGGGAUUCAAGAACUUGCUCAGUUGGUCAUGCUACUUACUAUUUUGUUGCAUUGCACGCCCAACUAGGACUUGGUAAACCCUAUUAAUCUUUCUAUGAUGUUUGGUCAGUUCUUGACCAAAAUGUUUUGUUCUAAAUAUCUUUGUUUACAAAAAGAAAAAAAGAAGAAGAAAAACUAGAAGAACAAGAGAGGGAAUGAGGGAGCGAAAGCUCUCUCUCUCCCUCUCCCUCUCCCUCUCUCUCUCUCUCUGCAAGCUCCCCUUCGUCAGAUAGAAAACCAGAUAGAAAUUCGGCGAGAAGCUCCUUAUCAAUGAUUAAAUGAGGAAAUACUGGAUUUCAGUCCUCAUCUUCUUUCUGUUCUUUCACUCCACUUUUAUCUAGCUCAGAGGAGAAGUAAUACCGUUACGUAGAUUUCCUUAUUUCUUCUCAUUUACAGCUUUCUUUCAUUGGGUAUGUGAUACUAUGCAUGUUGCAUCUGGAAUGGCAGAUAUAGAAUGGAAAAGGAGUUAGAGUCGCCCAAAAUGAUCAAGGAGGAAUCUGAUUUUAGGUCAACAACGUCACUUUUUUAAUUUUGUUGGAGUACUUCAAGUUCCUGAUCACCAUUUAAAUAAAAGAAAGCUUCUUGUAGUGGAAUUCUGAAUUGUUGGAAGAUUUAAGCUUUCAGUUUAUAAUAUUUAAAGACCAUUUGAUUAACCAUUGCUGCAUCUUGGAAUUUCAAGAGCAAAAUCCAUUGAUUAAUCAUUAAUAAAUUUGAACUUUGGUAGACUCGGGAUAAUUCAAUUUGUAGAGGCCUUUAUUCACCCUGAGUUUUUAAAAUAGAUCCAGAUGAAUUCCGCUUUUGAGAACUUUGCACCAUCAUGGCUGGACAUGCUAAUUUUAGAGGCCGGACACUCUAAUUUUAGAAUAACACUAUUUUCUCUCAGUUGAUUCCUAGUUGUGUUUACUCCAACUUUAGUAAUUAGUAGUCAUAUGUUUUUUAUAAUUAUUAUUCUUCUUUUUUAUGCUUUGAUCAGAUUUUUAUCAUAUUUUACAGGCUGCUGCAGCGGUGUGUGUAGAAAUGGGUAGCUUCUCUGAUCCUUCAAAGGCUCAGGGUCUAGCCCACUUUCUAGGUCUGCUUAUCUGCCUUUUCUGUCGUCAUCUUUAAUUUUAGACCUAACACAGCGUAGCUGUAAACAUCCUGCUUAAUGUCUACCUUUUAAACCCUUAAGAUAACAAUAUGCAGUCUUGUAACUAACUGUUUGUGUGGUUUUAUUUGCUUUCUCUUUCUUAAGUUACUUGCACUUACAAAAUCUUUUUGGUUGAUACUAUGAUUUCUGUAUUUGUGCCAUUGAUUAGGAAUGCGAUAUUUCUAUUGCAUGCAAUUACUUUAGAAAAUUAAUCUGUGCUUAGUCUCAUCUUACGAAGUCAACAUUUUCUCUACUUUACACAUCCCAAUUUACAAACCAUAAACUUGUAAUUGACUCAUCGAUAUCUUUCAACACUUCAAGUAUAUACAUAAUCUUAUUGCCAAGCAUGCGCUCCGGUUCCUGAUAAUCAUGAUGCUCAAUAUUGUCAUCUGCUCAACUUGCCUCUCUUUAGGAAGGAUUGUUAAGCCUAUCUAUUAUCAACUAAUGCUGCUUGACUAGUUUUUGGAAUUAUUUGAAGAAGUUGCCUCGUGUUUGUUGCACAUAACGAAGUGGAUGUUGUAAUCAACACACUGUGAAGUGAGUUAAUCAGUACAUAUUCAAUCAAAUAUUUUGAGUUUCAUUUACUAAAUACCUUUGUGACACUUAAGGCACUAAUUUUUUUUUUUAAAUUUUUUUGCAGCGUGGGUUUUUUUUUUUUUGGGUGUGUGUGGUGGGUGGGUAGGUGUGUGCGUGCAUGCGUGUGCUUGUGCGUUAGGGCGAUAACUCUAAUUUUCCUCCCUAUUCUGCCAAGGUGCAUUGAGUAAUGCUGGAUAAUUAUGUUAAACUGUGUUAGUUUGGAAUAGUUUGGAAACUACUAUUCCACUCGACUUGUCAUUGUGCUAUCCUUCAGUUUAUCCGUACUUAUCUUCAUAGUCAUUACUCGUUAUUGUUAUUCUUAGGGAGACCAAAAAUGAAAUUGAGUUCCUUCUUGGUUAUCCUAGGAUAGCAGGAUAACAUAAGGAUAAAAAAAAUUAUCCUCUAGUCCUAUUACAGAAUCAAAUUCACCCAUAAAGCACAGAGUACAUUGCUGGGUAUGGUCAAACUCAUCUUUUGAUUAAGCCAGGAAGUCUCUUGUCGAGCAUUGGUGCCUACCAAAAUGAUAGAUCGACAUUUAUUUAGAUGAAGCCCUAUGCGUUAUUACCACUUUUUCUUAAAUGUAUACUUAAGGUGAUUCCAACUCCCUAUCCCUUACAUCAGAGGUUUUUUACACUUUGUAUUGAUUCUUUUGUUGUUUAGUGAACUCUUCAGAAGGGAAACCUCUAUCAUGUGAAUUACUUUGUAGUCUGAUUUCUUGAACUGAAACUAGAGUACUGGAUCACAUUUAGUGGUCUUGUGGAAAAUUUGUUCAAGGUAAAGUCUUCCUUGGAGCCUUCUAAAAUUUGAAUUGAAAUCUAGUUGGACCCAUAUCACGAGGGUAGUGCUUGAGUGAUGAUGACACUGAAUGUGGGCUUGAGUGAUGAUGACGCUAAAUAUGAACUUGAGUGACGACGACACUAAAUGUCAAAUAACUCCACCAAUUACCUACCCAUAUACAUUCACAUAUUAAUAAACUUAACAGCAUUUAAGUGAUGUGUGCAGGUGAACUCUGCAUUCCUUAGUCAGUACUCUAUAUGAAACUUUAUACAAUAGAAAAUCAACUUUGGUUUGUGUAUGCUCUUUCGCAAAGAAUGUAAUACAGAAAAAAUUUCUGGAUCUCUCUGAGCAUAUUGAAGACGGGCAGUAGUCCUUUCACUUAGUAUGUUGCUGAUUGAUUGUUGCUGAUUGAUUAUGUUGUAUUUUGAAAGAGCUACAUACUAACUUCUUUUCAAAAAACUCAAGAAAUAAAGAAGGUGUAAUGUUGUCUUUUAGCUGCAUGGCAUUGUAGAUAUAGAUUAUGAUUCUUUAUCUUGUCCUAGUAAGCCAAUUAUUUGCUGGUUGAUUCCUUUCAUUUGUAUCAUUAUUGGAGUUCAUUUUGACUAGCGAGUAUCGGAAGUUGCAAAAAUGGUCAUCUUUAUCCUGUUAGUUCUUUUAUACUAGGUUCUUUUAUACUAGUUCUAUGUAUCUUUAUCUGAAUUGGAGCUCAUAUUUUGCAGAAUAUAUGCUCUUUAUACUGGUAGUUCUUAUAUAUUUCUCUGAAUUGGAGCUCAUAUUUUGCAGAACAUAUGCUUUUUAUGGGGAGUUCUGAGUAUCCUGAUGAAAAUGAGGUUUGUGACCUUCAUUUCAAGUUAUGCAGUUUUUGACCAAGUAAAUUAGAGAAAUCUGCUGCAGAUAACUUUUGUAUGCAGCUAACUCAGUAACUCAGUUGAAUGGUACUGCUCAGCUACUAAAUUCUUUACUUACAUUAUCUAUCCAGCCGUUGGCCAAAAAAAAAAAAAAAUCAAAAGACAAACAAAUCGACUCUUUCUAAAAAAAAAAAAAAAAAAAAAUCAACGAAAGACAAACAAAUCGACUCUUUGUUCUAUAUGUCAGGCAAUACGUUCACUCGUGGAAUAAAUGCCAUUAUAGCAGUAUACUCUUUGAAGGAUCAUAACAUAACAAGGAGUUCUUUUGGUUCAUUCAUUGCUAGCUUAAUAUGCUUUCACCCAAAUUAUAGUGAAAAGAUGUUACUAAGGGUGUAAUGUGGGCCCUUGUCGAAUCAACGGAGAUUCGCCUUGGCCGAACUAGGGAAGGCCUAAUAUGGCCUACUCUCUCAUGCUGCACAGGGUCAGAUUUCCUAGAAAGACAGCCCAGCACGACCCACCGUCCUAGAAAGUACAAGUGCCAUGUUGGAUGUUGAGUAUACCAUUCUAUGACAAUUUAAGGUUUUGGAGAACAACGGUUGUUUCACGUUAUUUAACUUAGUAUAAGAGCAGGAGCCCCUAAGUUUGAAUCCUAUGAGGCCUUUUAGUCUCAUUUAAUGUCUCCACGUAUUGGGCCUAUCUAAAAAACUCAUACCUAGAAGUGGGGGUGUUGAGUAUAAAAUAUAAAAAACACCUUUCUCUGAUAGUUUAAAUUUUUAGAGAACAAUGAAUGUUUCGUGUUAUUUAGGCCGAGCCCUGUGCCGGCCCUUUAUAUAUGUAUAUAUGUUUUAUCUUUUUAUGUCUUGUAAAUCUUAUAAAAUUAAAAAUAAACAAAAUGACCAAAAUAUUCCCCAGCAAUUAGGAUUUUCUAACUGUUGGAAGGGCAUUUUAGUCCAAAAGUUUUUAAAAAAAUUUCUUGGGGUUGGCCUGGCUUAGGCUCCCAAGGGAACUUGGUUUGGUCCAAAGUUGGACCCAGUCUUUAGGGAGUUGCUCCCAGGUCCAAGAGGGAGAGGAGGCCAACUUUUUUCUUUUUUUAUUUUAAAAUAUUUUAAAAUUCUUUAUUUUAUUUUUAAAAUUUUGUUAAUAUUAGUAUGUUUUAAAAUCAAAAUUUGAAUAACUCGAAUUAUAUCUAUAAAAAGAAGAAAAUUAUAAAGUAUAAAAAGUAAAAAAAUAAGCGCCGGGCCGGACUGGGCUGGUCCUGUAGGCAUGGCCUAUAUGGGCUAUGCUACCUCAUGCACGGGCCGGCUCAUUUUGUGCCACAGGCCUGCUGGGCGCAGCCCAGCACACUCCAAGGCAGUGCCAGGCCGAGCCAGCUUGCGGGCCGACUGCCCUGUUUGACCCCCUAGAUGUUACUCAACUAGUAACAUUUUUGAAGGGUCACAAGUUCUAUCUUGUUAUACACGAUAUAAGAUUAUUUGCUACAAAAGGUGUUUACAGGAAGGUUAUGAAAAAUGAGAGAAGUUGAUUAGUAUUAGCUUGUUGUUUUACUCUAUUAAUAUCAUUGUUUUUAUUUAUUUUAGAAAGGUUUAGUUUGUGAUAUUAAAUUAUAAAUCUUUUGGCUGUAAUAUACUAGAAGGAAAGGGCAUUCUGGCAAAUAUCCUUCAAUUAGGUUAAGCAGAGAAAAUGUCGUUGGAUGUUGGUUUGGUUCACUUCGAUGAUUUAUUAAUUUGUAGCUGAUGAUGGUAAUUUUAGCUAAUAUAGUUUUUCAAAGUCCAUUUACAUCCUAUUUUUACCUUUUCUUUUGUUAGUAUGAUAGUUACUUGUCCAAGCAUGGUGGCUCGACAAAUGCUUACACCGAAACCGAGUACACUUGCUACCAUUUUGAAGUUAACCGGGAGUAUCUCAAGGGGGCCUUGAAAAGGUAACUUUAUAUGUCGGAAUGCAUGGACGCAUUACAUGUGUGUAAUAGCUGAUAAACUUUGUGAGUAUUAUGACAGCAGCUCCUUCUGCAGAAGGUUUAGCUUAAAAAUCUUAUUAUUAUUGACAGAUUGUUGAUUAAUUUCGUUCUUAACAGGUUCUCGCAGUUCUUUAUAUCACCACUUAUGAAGGCUGAAGCUAUGGAACGUGAGGUUUUAGCAGUUGACUCAGGUUGGAUUUUUGUUUACUGAAGUUUGUGACGUUAACCUUUUGGUUUCUUGCCCCUAAGAUCUUUUUAUUUAACUUAUAUGUGAUUUAUGUGUGAUAAUCGGUCUUAUUAAGAUGGAUCUCUCCUGUAGAGUUCAACCAGGUACUUCAAAGUGAUAGUUGUCGUCUUCUGCAACUUCAUUGUCACACAUCUUCUGCUGGGCACCCUUUUAACCGAUUUUUCUGGGGUAUGAUUUCCAACACUUUUGUUAUUAGUCUGCUUGUUAUUAUUAUGACUAGAUUUUAUUGUUCUUUCUUUUUUCUAUUUGCGCAGGUAAUAAGAAAAGCUUACUUGAUGCUAUGGAAAGUGGUGUCAAUCUGAGAGAAGAAAUCUUGCGAAUGUACAGGGAUAAUUAUCAUGGAGGAAGGAUGAAGUUGGUUGUCAUUGGUGGAGGUAUGGUUAUUGCAUGUUUGGGUGAUAACAUGCUUUAUUUUGUGAAAUUAUUACAAGUAAUUGUAUGUGAUUUAUGAAAAGCUAUGCAUUUUCUGAAAAAUAUUACAAUCCUGGGCGUGCAUGUCUGUGUACGUAUGUGUAUGCAUGCGCCUAUGUGUAUGUAUAUUUGUGCAUCUGCCUGUGUUUGUACGAGUGUGCGUGCAUGUGUACAUCGGUGUGCGUAUGCCCGUCUGUUCCUGUGUGUUUGCCUUUGUAUGCUUGUGAGCGUGCAUAUAACAUGCUUUAUUUUAUGAAAUGGUAAAUGAUUACUGCACAUUUAUGCUUUUUGUCAAAGAUAUUAUGUUCCUGAGUGAUUUAUAUUGCCAAAUCGUAUUUUUUCAGAGUCACUUGAUGUACUGGAAGAUUGGGUGGUGGAGCUUUUCGGCAAAGUUAAAGCUGGUCCGCCAUUAAAAAUGAGUUGGAAGAUUGAUAUGCCUGCCUGGAAAGCUGGAAAGUUAUACAAGUUAGAGGCUGUUAAGGAUGUCCACAUCCUUGACUUAACAUGGACAUUGCCUUGUCUGCAUAGAGAAUAUCUAAAGAAGCCGGAGGAUUACUUAGCUCAUUUAAUGGGCCAUGGUAAAGCAUCCAAUCCCCUUGCAAAAAUAUUAUUUUCAAGAUGUAUCUAGAUCUGUUGUUUCUAGAUACAAAAAUGAUAUGACGUCACAUGGUGUGUCUGCUCUUUCUUAGAUGUAUGUGGUGGCAACUCUUUACAUUUCAAUAGUCUUUUUUUAUUUCUAUUGAAGUUUUAACUCUUGAUUGAUAUUGCUUUGCUUGUUACUUUUGUACUUGAGUUAUCGAGUUUUUAACCUGCCUUAUCGAAGCCGUUUAGUUGUUUAGUUGUUGUAGAAAUUUUAAAGAUCUAUAUAACGUGCACCAUAAGAUCAGUGUUCGCCCUGUAGUGUGCAAUAACCUGCACUCCACGAAUGCAAUGAAAGUCGUAUUACAUUCUAUUAAUAGGCUAAUGUUGAGUUGCAUAUUGCCCAGAACUUUGUCAGAAGAAACUUACGUUUUCAGUACAACAAGUUAGCCAGCAAAUGGGUUUGUCAUAAGAGCAUAUUACGAUCAUGCUGCUAACAUAAGACCAAUUAAUCUGAAGUCGUAAAACAAUGGCUGGUUAGAGUAAUUGCUAAAUAAUACUUUGUCAAUGUUUAUUUUAACUAUAAAACUUGUUUUUGCAUAAUUGCAUCACUUAUUUUUCUGAUUAUCAUGGAAUGAGUUGAUUGAUCUUACUGUAUCCAAUCUUUUACGAAAACAUUUUUGAAAUCCUUUAGCAACUAGUAUUCUUGGAAUAGGACUGCAUCUUAACAAUUCAAUUGUGAGCACAACAUGUCUUACCUAGUCAUAUUUUGAUUGACUUAGUUUUUCUUAAUGAUCCUAAAUUCCUAAUGUAUCAAAGGGUCUAUGUUGCGGGAUGUUGAUCAUUCUGACAAAAUAAUUGGCAUACCUUCUUUCUCCAGUGUUCUUCAUGUGAUAUUUGUUUUGUAACUUGUUUUUCCUGAAAUACUGUAUAUAAAUCAUAUUUUUAUUUUUAUGGUUCAGCAUAUAGUUACAAUUCACGGUCUCUAAGUCUUGCAGAAGUUGUACUAAAAUGUUGUAACUGUGCAGCUCCUCAGAUUAUUUCUUUUCUCAUCGUAGACUUGAUAAAUGCCGUAUCUAUUAUGUCCAUUAUCAAAGCCUUCUAAUGUCAUGUGCAUAUGAACUGAAAACUUGUAGUUAUAUUUCAGAGGGAAAGGGCAGUUUGCUUUAUUUUCUGAAAGCUAAAGGAUGGGCAACAUCAUUAUCUGCUGGAGUUGGUGAUGAAGGAAUGCGCCGGUCUUCCAUUGCUUACGUAUUUGUGAUGUCUAUUAACCUAACUGAUUCUGGAUUAGAUAAGGUGUGUAUGUUCAUUUCUGUAACUUUGUUGUGCAGCGUGCACAAUGAACCUGCUUGAAGAUUUCCAUCUGCCCUCCACAUAAUUUGCACCUUGACUUGUAUAGAAAAGCAUGAACUUCCACUGUGAGCUGUAGUUGAUCUUUUAUGUUUCUAUUGUUAUUGAAACUCAUUAGCUUGUGGUCUGUAAUGUGUUUUCAUCCUACAUUGGCAAACUAAUUGUUUUUCCACCUAUGGAUAAUUUAACUUAAAAUGCUUUCUUCAGAAUGUAACUCUAUUGCCUAGUUAGCUGCAAUAAUGCCUCUUAAAUUUUCCUUAUCUUUUCUUGUUGUGAUUAUUGUAACGACCAAGCCUACUAGUACUAGUAACUUAUUGGGCCCAAACCACCAAUACAAAAUGCUUAAGCCCAAUUAUUAGUAUUAGGGUGCUUAAUCCUUACAUAACCUAAUGCAGUCCCUUUUCUAUCCAUGGGAUUAUUGGGGUGUUAUAUAUAUCUCCUUUUUUUGUUUGUUUGAAGAAUAGCUGUAAUUAUCUCUAUGAUAGAACCUGGACUGCAAAGACACACAAAGGUCAAGAACUGAACUGCCUUGAGAAUUGCAAACAAUGCGUUUUUAAUAUAAUUUAUAUGCUAAGAUAUGCUAUUCCAUUUGUUAUCUGUCACAUGUAAAGCAGUUUUAGGUACUAGAUGCUAUAAUUUUGUUUAUAAAAAGGACGCUUUGUGAUCUCUAAUUUCUCAAGUCAAACUAAAUGCCAUGCUUUUGUGGGAGGGUGCUAGAAUCAGUCUUAGUAUCCUCGUUCCCUUUCGGAACACCGACUUGUUGGUCAACAACUGGCAUCAUCUGAAGUGGCUUUUCUUAUCAACUAGGACAGAAAAAUAAUAGAUAAUAGAAGUAAUCACAAAUUAUUGAUAAAGAUCAAUAAUUCCACAUAAAUUCAGGCUGUGAUAUUGGUAUGCUAUUCUAGGUGAAGUAAUAUUAAAGGACCAUGGGAAAGUCAUAUUCAGAUAACGAAGCUUGCGUUGUACGUGUUCUCAGUUAGUCAUUGUUAACUUGUAGUUUAAUCUACGGCCGCAUCUUCUAUUAUCCCUGGCGUUAACUUCAUUCACCUGUUUUGCAUUAUGCUUAUUAUUUUGACACCUACUUUCUUUCUACAUCCCUCUUGUCAUGUUAACAAUCAUGAUCAGUUUUUAGGUUAGAAAUAAUCUUGUAUUAGUAGAAAUCUCUGAAAUGCUGCAUCCGAAUUGACAAACAUAGAAUUGUAUAUUAAUGGCUUAUAUAGCUACAUCUAUUUAUACAGACCUUUCUAAUAACAUGAUUUGGCAGCUAUAUGAGGUUAUUGGUGCCGUACAUCAGUACAUCAAGUUAUUGCGGCAAUCUAAACCACAAGAAUGGAUAUUUAAGGAGCUCCAAGAUAUUGGAAAUAUGGAAUUCAGAUUUGCUGAAGAGCAACCCCAAGAUGAGUAUGCAGCAGAACUUGCAGGUUCUUUCGAUGUUCUUGUAUUGUUCUUAUGAUACCCAUGUGCCUGUCAUGACAAGCUGCCGUAGAUGCAUAUACAUGAAUAUAGGAUAUAGACAUGGCACUCCACACAUAAGCCAACUUUACAUGUAAUAAUAAGAAUGUGAUACACUAAGCCCCGUUUGGAUUGGGGAUAAGGGGUGGAAUCAAGGAUUUAAGUGCCGUGGCAUGGGAUUGUGCCGGAAAUUUGCCGGAACGGUACGGCACGGUGCGUGCCGGGCCGUGCCGAUGCGUGUCUGUCAAAAAAAAAUGUGUGCCGACACGUAAUGGCAUGAAAUAUUUAUUUUCUUUAGCAACAAAAUAUGCUAAUUAUUAUGUAUUUUUAUCAAAUCUUUUGAACUUUGUUAAGAAAAUUACUUACUAAUUUCAAGAAUAGAGUGUUUUAAGUUGUGCCAUUGGCACGGGGGCUGUAUCGUACCGAUAUCCUGCUGGCACGAUGCAGCACGGUGGAUAUGGCUCGUGCCUAUGGGUACUUUAAUUCUUGGGUGGAAUAACCCCUUAUCCCCCCCCCUUUAUAUCCAAACGCUAAUUUUUUACCAGAGAAUAGUAGUUCUCGGGUACUUGAAAUAAGCUGGUAUAACUAUCCCCAUCAACACCUAUAUUUUCUAUAUAUAACUACCCACUAUUUUUCUUAUUCCAUAUUAUCUAUCCAAACGCUAUUUUUCUUAUCCCCGAAAACAAUCCAAUUUUCAUCCAAACGCUAUUUUUCUUAUCCCCAUACUUGUAUCUAUCCCUGUAAUAGCUAGUUCUUGCUUAUACCCGAACCAAACGGUGCCUUAUAAGGAUAUGGCCAUGGAUAUACGAAAAUAUGUUGUUUAUAUGAGUGAUAUAGAUGUAAUAUAGAGAGAAAUAUACAUACAUAUAUGGCAGCAUAUGUCCAUAUAUCUAAACAAAUUUAUUAUUUCUAUUUGCUUGUAAAAAUUAUUUGAGAAAUUGGUUUUGCAAUCUAUAUUAGUCUUAGCCAAGCGAAAAAUCUCCAAUUUAUGCUGGAUUAAAGAAUUAUAUAGUUGUUAUAAAUGACUUCAUUUAACAUUAUCCUUUGAAGGCAUUCAUCAUUGAUGAAUAUUUUAGCCCGCUCCAAGAAAAAUCUUAGAAGUAUCCUAAAAGUAGUCCUGGCUAUAUAAACUCAUUUAACUUUAUUUUAAAAAACAUAUGGGUAAAGGAAGUCUCCUAAUUUGUGCCCAUGAAGUAUGUGAUAAGUGUCAUACUGCCAUGUCCAGUCUUUUAUACAAUAUGGAGAUGCUUGGUCCUUGGGCUAUUUAAAAUGGUAGGACAUCAUAGGCUACCGUGGUGCUGUAAUACAAGCCUGUUAUUCUAGCUGUUUGAAUUUGAUGUUGUUAUGUUUGAUGUUAGCAGAGCACUUUGUUCAAAUAAUUCUGUUACUUGCUGGUCAAUCUUGUGCAAAUUAGUUCUGGUUUUUACGAAAUGUUAGACCUUUGACUCUGGAAAGGAAUAAAAACGGCUUUCUUUUGUCUACGUAAUUUGCUAUUCAUCGUUGACAUCAUCGUUAGGUGCUCAAUUUUGUUCAAUGUCUAACAUUAAAAAUAUUUCUCAUUUAUCUUUGACUCGGGGCAAUUUGAACUUUGAAGUUCUACAAUUUCUACAUCCUUUGUUCAUCCAAUCAUUUACCUGUGUAUCUGUGUUUUCGGACUAAUUGAAGCUUUUGCUACAGAGAAUUUGCUAUAUUAUUCUGAAGAACACAUCAUCUAUGGAGAAUAUGCUUUUGAACAGUGGGAUCCAGCAUUGGUCGAGUUUGUUUUGAGCUUUUUCUCCCCUGAAAACAUGAGGAUUGACUUACGCACUAAGUCGUUUGAUAAGCAUUCUGAAGGUAAUUUAUGCUUCCUGUUAUCGUUUGACUGAUUGAUGUUAGUACUAUGUACAUCACACCAAAUAUCGUAGCUCUUUUUCUCUAUAGGUUUUGUUUAUUGUGUCUAUCGCUCUUUGGGAGCUUUAGAUAUUGGGAAGGCAUGCUCACGCAUCUUCUUUUAUUUAUGGCCCAUUUGUUAUGGGUUUGACAUUGCAGGCUCUGGCAUGCCCUGGGCCCAUCUGCAGCUCUACUUCCUUCUCUUUCAAUGUUCAGGCCUCAAACAUGAUUUUAUUUAUACAAAAUGUGCUGGUAGAUCAGGAAGGAGGAAGAAUUAAUAGAUUUCAAUAUACUUCAUUCUUUAAGCUUCUGUUUAUUUACAACCUAACGAGAUAAAUAAUCGAAGUGUUUAAAUCUGAACAGCUUUCUUGCGACUAUCUUAACCUUCUGUCUCUGUUAUCAAACGGUCUGUAUUCUGGAAUAUUAUUAUAUCAAUUUUGUUUUCAAAUGCAGCAAUUCAAUAUGAGCCAUGGUUUGGUUCACGCUACAUCGAAGAAGACAUUCAGCCAUCCCUUUUUGAGAGCUGGCGAGAUCCUCCUGAAAUAGAUCCAUCUUUGCAUUUACCUCUGAAGAAUGAGUUUAUUCCCUCUGACUUUUCUCUCCGGAGUGUUAACGUGUCAAAAAACAUUAGUAGCAAUGAUCCUAAAUGCCUUGUGGAACAGCCAUUAAUGAAGUUCUGGUAUAAGAUUGACUUGACAUUCAAUGUGCCUCGUGCGAAUACAUACUUCCUGAUAACUGUGAAGGAUGGAUAUAGCAGUGUGAAGAAUUCUGUCUUAACUGAGCUCUUUGUGAAUCUUCUUAAAGAUGAGCUAAAUGAAAUUUUGUAUCAGGUACUACAUUGUGGUUAUGCAUGCUUGAAUCUUCUGUUUUCUAAUCAUGUAGAGUUAAUAUAUAUUUUUUUAAAAAGGACUUGAAUAGAUUUCAUCUAAUUCCGGUGUAUCUCUUACGUUUAUCUUAUCGAGGAAGUUUUGAUGCAGUUUGCACAUCAUCAUACUAGCAAAUUGUUUGUUUUUCAUCUAAUUUUUAUUGAUUCACUGAAGGAAUGCAUAUUUAGUACUUCCGCCAUCUUCUUCAUAGUUUAGCAUUUUCAUGUGUAGUGCCAUUUCUUUGUUCUGAUAAUUUUUUUUUUAUCCUUUUGUUUUCCUACAUUCAGGCUGAAGUGGCUAAGCUGGAGACAUCUUUGUCAAUUGUUGGUGACAAACUCGAGCUAAAACUUUAUGGUUUCAAUGACAAACUGCCCGUUUUGCUAUCAAAAAUACUGGAAUUGUCGAAAUCCUUCUCCCCAAGAAUUGAUAGAUUUAAGGUAAUUUAUAUCAGAAUUUUCAUUUGAUUUUCCGUUAUUUCUUCAAAAAACAGAAAUGACAUAGAGGCUUACUAUUCUUGCUUUUCCUUUUGAUGAGGAUAUCAGAUUUGCUUUAGUUGUUUAUAUUGUUGAAUAGUUAUCUGAGAGAGGGAUUAGAGUUAAACAUUUAGCCAUGGUGAAACAAAUAGGAACUUAAUAAGUUCUUUUUUUUUUUUUUAUCUGUUUGAGCAUCUUUUAGAAUGCUAAGAUUUGUUAUUCUCAAAUAGAAAUCUCAUGUUUAUCUAGUAUGAUGUAUAUAUUGUUUUAGAACUGUUUUAUUUGGAACCUUUAACAGGUUAUCAAAGAGGAUAUGGAGAGAGCGUACAGAAACACAAACAUGAAGCCUUUGAGUCAUUCUACCUAUUUGAGGCUGCAAAUACUGCGUCAGGUUUUCUGGGAUGUAGAUGAGAAACUGGCCACUCUGUUAAAACUAACCCUUUCGGACUUACAGGCUUUUAUUCCUAACCUUCUUUCUCAGGUAACUGAAGAAUAGUCCCACUGCUCUUUUUAAUCAUACUAUUUCUGUGCGGAAAUGCCCUAAAUAUUGGUUAGUAGUUUUUUUCCCUUGUAAAUCUUCCUGUUAUGUGUGCCUGUUUCAGCUACACUUUGAGGGCCUUUGCCAUGGGAAUCUGUCUGAAGAGGAGGCCAUCAACGUAGCAGAUGCCUUUACAAAAAUAUUUUCAGUACAAACUCUGCCGGUGGAGUUGAGACAUCAAGAGCAUGUCUUGUGUCUGCCAUCUGGCGCGCGCCUCCUUAGAAGCGUAAAUGUGAAGAAUACGCUUGAAGUGAAUUCUGUGGUUGAGCUUUAUUUUCAAAUUGAACAGGACAUAGGUACAGAGGCAACUAGAUUGAGAGCUAUCACAGAUCUUUUUGGCAGUAUUAUCGAAGAACCAUGUUUUGAUCAGCUAAGGUAUACCCUGCUGUAAUAUAUUCCCUCCUUUUAUUUGGCUUGCAAAUAUUAGAUGGACUUACGAGGCUGCCUUACGACAUUUAAUAGUCAAAUAAUACUCUUCUUUCUCAAUUGUAGGACAAAGGAGCAGCUUGGAUAUGUUGUUGAAUGUGGCCCACGAAUGACAUACCGUGUGCUAGGGUUUUGCUUUCGUGUGCAGUCGUCGAAGUAUGGCCCUUUUUAUUUGCAAGAAAGGAUUGAGAACUUCGUCAACUCCAUACAAGGGUUACUGGUAUGCUCGUAGCCAUGUACAUGCUGGAAUUGUUCUCUAGUAGAUAGGGAGUGCUUCUAGUUUCUAUUAGUGAUUAUGCUAGGAGGAUUGGAUAUGUAGGGUAAAUGUUUAACCAACUUUGAGAAGGUAAUUUGAGAAAGAAAAACUGCCAACUGAACAUAUAUGGUAUAAAAAUGCUGCUGUGCCUGGAUAUCUUAUCUGUCUCUCCAGGAAAAUGAAUAUCUCCAGAAGCACCAAAGUCACUUAUCUUGGAUGCUUGGCUAUCUUUAUCACCAUUCCUUCCCUUGUCUACUUCAAUGCAAUUGAUUUUAUUAAUGUCUCUAAUUACCAAUCACCAAACUUUAUUUGGUGAAAUGUUUCUAUCAGCUUAUAAUCUUCUUUCUUUCCAAUUAAGGCCUUUUGAGAAGAAAAUAUUCAUUCGAUCCUUUCCUCACCAUCUUCUAAGUUGUGUCUGAUCUUCUUGAUCUUCUGAACUCAUUACACCCUUUCGUAACCUUAUUGAAGCGAAGUACCGCGCCAUCUUUUAUAUUCUUACCUUAUCUGAUAAUUCUUGUCCUGGAUUUCCUACUUUUAAGUACAAGUCAUAAAAAUGUGUUAAUUAUCAUUGGUUAAUAUCUCUGUUUUUAUUCCUAACAUUGCUACUACGCAACUGGUUGCACCAGGGGCCUAAUCAGAAGUACCAUCAAUCUAACUAAAACCUGUAUGUUUGGGGUAGUAACCAUCAUCUGAAAAGUACAACAAUGUCAUCCAUUCAUUUCAUCAGGUUCUUUUGUAUACUUUGCUAUCUUGUCCAUAUUUUAACUAGUCACAAGAAGCAUAAAUGGGGUAUAGAUGUGUGUGACCCCCUCUUGUCACGUAUUCUUUUAUCUCCCUUUGUAUCCUAUCUAUGUUUUUGAAAUAUUAGUUCCAGAAACAAUACUGUGUUACAAAAAUGGUGCUGAUUACUUUGUAUUGAUAUACUACCUUAAACCGGUACCUAUUUCUGAUCACUCGUUCUUCUCUCCCUCCAAAAGUACAUGGAUCCUUUAUAAAUGUAAAUGAUGUUCAUAUGUGGAGUUUAUCAUAUGAAACCUGAUUUAUAUUACAUUAUCUCAGGACGGCCUUGAUGAUGAAUCUUAUGAGAACCACAGAAGUGGGUUGAUAGCUGAGAAACUCGAAAAGGACCCAUCACUUUCAUAUGAAACCGGUCAUCAUUGGAGUCAAAUAGUGGAAAAGAGGUACUCAAUUCUCUCUGCGAAUUCAUUAAGCUUAUUGGUGUUGAGCUAUGCUGCAAUAAAUUACCGGCAUUUUCUCAUGCAUGUCAUUUAAGACUGUUUGCUGUACCAUGUGCUUGUGCUGGACCUGGCAUUGUAGAUGUGAGAGGCACUUUUGAACCAUUUUAUAGGGACAAAAUUUAAACUAAUGCUGCUUCGUAAGACCACAAUUACGCUGCUUACCUGCAAACCCAAAAAGAUUUAAACUAUAAACUAAUUAGGUGAUUGGAGCAAAGCACGAAUGCAGUCGUCUUUCUUAGUCAGCAUCAAGUUACAUUAUUCUGUAGAAUAGUAUAGCCGCGCGCUAGCCACAAGCUCUCUUUGGGCGCAAAUGAAUUUCACAAGGGCUUAUGAAUUGUAGCUGCAUUAAAUAUUUACAUUUAUAAACUAGAACUCUUUUCCCUAUUGUAGUCUCUGAACAAGAAUUCAAUCUUUUGUCCUGCAGAUAUCUAUUCAACAUGUUGAAAUUAGAAGCAGAGGAGCUCAGAACAAUUCAAAAGAGCGAUGUUAUCAGCUGGUACAACACAUAUAUAAAACUGACAUCGCCAAAAUGUAGGCAACUUGCUAUUCAUCUGUGGGGCUCCAAUACCGAUAUCAACGAGUCGACCAAGAUGCAAGAGAAAUCUUGGAAGGUCGUCGAAGACAUCCAUUCCUUCAAAAUUUCAUCAGGCUACUACUCAAGCCUGUGCUGAAGCAAUUUGCAGGUUAGUCGUUGGUGUGAUUCAGUAACUUUUAAGAAUCACUGAUUUAAUUAUUCUCGUAACAAUUACGCUGUUUUUCCAAAGCAAAGAAGAAUCAGGAGCAUUCAUUUAUUACUAUAAAUACGUAGGUUUGUAAACCAUUAUUCUUUUUAUUUUUCCAUGUAUACCGUUAUUUCGGUGGUACAAUAAAGUGAUUUUUUUUUUUUUUUUUUGGGGCUUGUGCUCUCUUAUGUCUCGUUUAUCUAUGUAGUGAGCAUUUUUUUUUUAAAAAAAAAAAAACCUCGAAGAUUUCAACCACUUGAAUAAUUCUUGUACGAGUUUGCGUCCGGACCGACAACAUAAUAUACUGAAUGCUGUGACACCUGAACGGCAAUGUUUCUGUUGCUUCGCCAUCGGAAAUAAUAUAUUUCUUGUACGAGCGCAUCUUGUUAAUAUGUCAAUGUUUUCUGGGGCCCAUGGAAUCCUAGGCAUAUGAAGCUUUCUCUUUUUCUUUUUUAUUUUCCUCGUGUUUUGGUAAUUUGAUUGAAUCUUUUUUUGCAGAUUUUUUGGUUUUUUUUAGCUUGAGAUUGGAAUUGGUGGGCGAAUUGAUUGUAACAGCGUCGAGUUUGGUGCAGUAUUUAAGGUUUGGUACGCAUGUGGUCCGUCCUAAAGCACGUGCAUGAUUCUAUUCUGCAGGAAUUUUCUAAAGCCGUACGUGUGUAUAUUCGUAUAUUCGAUAUUCGACAUAACGCACAUAGUUCAAUGUAAAUAAUAAUUGGCUUAAUUGGUAUAGGUGUAUGUAAUGUAACUCGGGAUUGCGUAAAGAGUAUGGUAGGCCCACGCAUAAAUCUACGAAACGCUUACGGCGUUUCUUUCCCGGGAAAAGAAAAAAAGGAAAAAUAAAAAUAAAAAUCUAUGAGAGCUUUCCUGAUGUAGCGCACCAACUAGAUUCUCCAGAUUCGUGCUUCUAUUUUUUUGGUGCUUAAAAUCGUAUGUUAGUUCUGUUUUCAGCAGAAGAAGUUUGUGAAUAUUUUAUUUUAUAGGGAAGCAGAUAUGUUUUACGAUCUAACUUUUUCUACUAGUGUUAUAAAAUGGCGAUAAAACUUUUCUGCUAGACUGACCGUCUCUAGCACAAGUGGUAAAGAGCUUAAUGGUCGGUGUUUUGGUCUAAAAUUUGAAUCUUAGUUGAUUUAUAUUUUUAACUAAAUUUAUUUUUAAAUGAAAUAAGCGAAACGGAUAACAUGCGCUUUUGGAAUAUCUUGGGAAGGACUGUGUCCGACGAAUGCGUCCAACGGAACUUUCGAGCUACAUAAGCUGGCCCAGUUGACCUAAAUGGGCCCACCAACUUAUUUAUCUUUUAGUUCAUUACUACUACCAAUCAUCAAUCCUCUUUAUAUUAUAACGAAAAAUAAAAUAAAAAAUAUGGAUUUGGGCCAAACCCAAAAGGAAAUUAAAAAAAAAAAAAAAAAAAAAAAAAAACGCGGUCGGACGCGAUUAACCUUGGAGUCAACAACCCACCCACCGCCCGAGCCCCUCAUUGUCGGUGCACCGAACACUCCAAUUCUUUCAUUUAAACCCUGGACUUUAUUAGGUAUCUCACUCACUCACUCACUUGUUGGGGUGUGGGGUUGUGGUGGGUUGUGGUGUUGUGGGCUCCUUCCCAACUAUACGUCGCCUCAGAUCUAAAAGUACCAAGUGCUGCGUUGCCUAUUUCUCUUAUUUUUUUUCCACCGUUUGGUCCAAGUUAUAUUCAAAAAAAAAAAGAAAAAAAAAAUUAAAAGAGAAUCUUAUGUGGAAUAUGCUUCCUCACAAAAUAGGAUAAUUUUUUGAAUGCGCCGUCCUUAGUAGACCGUAAAUGUUAUACUUACAAAUAAAUUUUAAAAAAACUUCAAAUAUCAUUUCUAUGAUUCCGCGCUUUCUCAUUUUAGUACUCUGUACUUUAAAAUGUAUUACUUUCGUACCAUAUGAUUUUACUUUUUUUUCUUUUCGUUAUUUUUUUAUUAACUUUUUCGUUAAAUCAGUGAUAAAGUUAAAAUUAUAGGGUUCUAAAUUAAAUAUUCGAUAAACCACAGAAUAUUAUUUGAAGUUUUUCGUAUAUAAUUUAACGGAGAGUUAACGGAGGCGCUGACAAAAAGAAAAAAAUAAAACCGCAUGGUACUAGAGUGAUACACUUCAAAUUAUAUGAUAUUAAAGUAAGAAAUCACGAAAUCACGAUGAUGGUAUUUGAAGUUUAUUCUAAAUUUUAUAAUACUUCACCAAUUAUCACACAUGACCUUAUUUUACUGAUAGAUAAGUACAAAUCUCGAGAUGGUAAAAUAUAAUUUAUAGUUUUAAGAUUGAAAUCUAGUUGUUGCACUUUAUAAAUAUGAUGUAUUUCUUGCACUCACUAUUUAUGAGUUUAAUUCUCUUUGUGAAAAUUUAAUAUUAAAAAAAAGAUUAAUAAGACUAAAAAAACAGAAGAUAUUUUCGAAUGAACAGGGUAUCAUAUUUACACCCUAUUUAUAUGUGUACAACUCGCAUUGCUUUGAAGUAUAUUAACAUAAAAAAAUUAAAAUUAGUUAUCAUCUAUAACUUUUAAAUUUGUUAUUAGAAUAGUUUUAGAAAGUCCCCGAGAGUAUUAUUUUUAUAUAUAAUUAAAGGUAAAAAUGUAAAGAGAUAUUGUAAACUUUAGCUCUUUUAUAAAAAAGCGCUUGAACUUUCAAAUUUGAUUAUUACAUUUUCUAAACUUUUUUAAAUAGUUUAAUAGAUCUUUCUUUUUAAGUGAGUUUACUAAUUACACAGUUAUUUUGAUCGGACGUCAUGCACAUAAUCAUGUAAAAUUUCAAAAUAUAAAAAUUUAAUUUUUCUCUCUAAAUUUUAAUAAUUAAGUAUGAAGAUUGAAGAGUUGGUUGAAUCGAAUUUUAAUUUCUAUCGCUUUUUUUACAUUUAAGAGUACAAAGAAUAAAUUAUUUGUGUUUUAAAGCUUUAUAAAAUUUUGAAUAUGUAAUUGCCAAAAUUAAAAACUCAGGCAUGUAUCUACAAAGGAGCGAACCUUUAGGUGGUCUCUGUAUAUUUUACCCUAAUAUAAUUGUUGGGACCUAAAAUGUGAGGAUCUUUAAUUGAUUUAUAUAUGUAUUCUAUAGUGCCACGUAAAUUUACCGAUACAUUACUAACGCAUGGAAAAUUAUCUGAAUAAUUAUAAAAAUUAGAGAAAAAAGUUAUCACAUAUUAUGAUUAUUUUAUUUACAUGUAAAAUCUUUUUAAGUAUUAUAAAAUAUAAAUCACACCCACCUAUAAAUUAAGAUUUUAAUUUAAAAUUCUUAAUGAUUAAAUUUAAAAAAGGCCGCGGUGUAUACACCACGGUGCAUGCAAAAAAUAGUUUCUGAGCAAAAUAGACCAAUUUGACGUGACGUUGAACCAAUGCGAGAGACUCUUCAGAUUAUUCCUCAAAUUUCACAUUAACCACAUUAUCUUUAAUAAAAAAAAAUAAAUUAAAAUAAAAAAUGAAAUAAAAAUUAAUAAUAAGGUUAGUUACUAUUAAUGUUAGGCCAAUAAGUACGUCGUAAUUUCGCAAUACCCCCAAUUCACAGUUUCCGCGGCUUCUCCCGCAAAUGGUAUGCAUAUAAAUCCGAUCCCUCCCCGUCUCUAUUCAACUCUCCGAUCCGAUCCGAUCUGAUCUAAAACCCUCGGAUCUCACCAUUGUUUCGCGAUUUUUCGCAGUAAUCAGCUCAAUUACUAGCCGAUUCUCACGAUCCCCUGCUGGAUCUCGAGCUAUUGGUGAUGAGGUGGGGUUUUCUCGUCUUUUUCUGAUGAAUUUUUCGUGAAUUUUGGGUUUUUGUUGUGGUUUUGAGGUGAUUGUUGUUAGAUCGUGCGUAGGUGAGCUUGGAUUUUGAGGUGCCGAGGUUGCGGAGGUGUGAUUUUGGGGGGAUUUGGAGAGGGGGAAAUUGUUUGAGAUGGGCGAGGGCGAGCGGUUCCAGUUGGGGACCGUUGGCGCGCUGAGCCUCUCGGUGGUGUCGUCGGUGUCGAUCGUUAUCUGCAACAAGGCGCUCAUCAGCUCGUUGGGAUUCACAUUUGGUAAUAGAUCUGAUGAUCUCCUCUCUUUUUUUUUUUUCUUUCUCUUUUCUAUUCGUAUUAAUAGUAGUGAUAUAGUAUACGAUGUUUGGUAGGUGUGAUCUGAUUUAUUGUAUUUUUGGUUCUUGGUGGAGCAUACGGACAAUUUGUAGAUGUCGAUUGAUUGUUUUUAUGGAUUGUUUCAUGUUUCAUAUUUGUUUUUUGAUGUAUGUAGUUGAUAGUAAAAAUACCUUUAAGUUUUUGAAAAAAAUAAUUAUUUCAUAUAAUUUAACAUAUAAUAUCAUAGCAAGAGGUUACGAGUUUGAGUUCCGUCAGGUUUUUAGCGUUACAAUUCCUCCCGUUUAAUUCAAGCCCACGUUUUGGGCCUUAAUGAUUGUUUUUAUAAUUUAACGUACCUUUUGGUAAUUUGGAUAGUUCUCUCAAGAGAGGAGUUGCCUACAUGAGGAGGAAAAAUCACAACUUUUUGUUUUGGGAGUUGUAUUAGGUCUUAAGGCAUUAAUUGGCCAGAGAAGUAAAUGAUGUUCGAUCAAUUCGGCCUGAUCUGUAUCGUUAACCAUGAGUAAAAACAGAAAUGGAUCAAUUCGGCCUGAUCUGCGGUAUAUGGGGUAGGUCCUCCGUCGGUGUAACUGUCCAUUGUUGAUAUUGUAUUGGUUCCUCGACUUUAUCCUCUUGCGUUAGAAAUGCAGUCUAAGGUGUCAUAUAUUUAUUUGUUGCUUGUGUUGAAUGGAGGACUAGUGGUAUGAUUUUAUGAGAUGGAAACAUGUUAUAACAUAAAUUUGCUAGUUUAAGAAGGUAAGGUAUCAUAAUUAGUUUCCAUAAGAUGUAGGGGAGAAAUGAACUUGGCGGCUUCGAACAGAUGAGAGCUUUUAUAGUCCCAAUAUUCAAAAUUUAAUUACUCUGAUGACAUCUUGCCCUGAUCUGUGUUUUGCAGCCACUACUCUGACAAGCUGGCAUCUUCUAGUUACAUUCUGUUCUCUUCAUGUGGCCUUGUGGAUGAAACUUUUCGAGCACAAGCCUUUUGAUGCUAGGACUGUUAUGGGCUUUGGGGUGCUUAAUGGAAUCUCUAUUGGGCUAUUGAACUUGAGUCUUGGUUUCAAUUCGGUUGGCUUUUAUCAGGUGCAUAUCGCUUUCGUAUUCUUCUUUACUUGAUUUAGUCAAGGAAGUGAAAGAGGCAUAUGAUAGUUAAGAAACCUUAGUCUAUGCCGAGUCAAAUAAGAUAUCACUACUAAAUCAGAAUUCAUUGGUUUUUGCCGAUCUAUUAUGGUGGUAGUGCCUCUUGGAUGUGUUUGUGAUAUUUCUUUUUCUUUACAGAUGACAAAGCUUGCUAUUAUCCCUUGCACUGUCUUGUUGGAGACUCUUUUCUUCCUCAAGAAGUUCAGGUUUGUUUACCAUUUCUUUCUUUUAUUGUUAACCAAUCAAAUCCAAAGAAAAUGACGGCUUUUUUUAGAGUUUUUUUAGUUAGUACUCCAGAUUUUAACUAUUAUUGGAAUGAGUAAUCUCGUGCAUGGCCAAUCAAUAUCUUAGCUUGUUGGCUUACAGAAGUAUAUGACAAAAUUCCUUGAGAAAGAAAUAUUAGGAGAAAGCAAAUGAUAGAGUAAUGGCUGGUGCUGGUACAACUAUUCUUUUUCUGAUUCAUUAUCUUCACUUGUCCCUGCAGUAGGAAUAUCCAGCUCUCGCUUACUAUUCUCCUUUUGGGUGUCGGCAUCGCUACUGUGACAGAUCUGCAACUCAAUGCUCUAGGAUCUAUACUGUCUCUACUUGCAAUUAUUACGACUUGCAUAGCUCAAAUUGUAUCCUUGAACAAGUUUCUUUUCCGUGAAGUGUUCAGAGCCCUGUACGUCAGUUAUGUUGCAUUAUGGCUUAAUUCACCAAACACAGUUUACUGCUAUCGAAUAUUUUGGAGGUAUUGUUUCUGUUUUUCUUUUUUCUCCAAAAAUGUUCCUUGACCAGUUAUCAGAUGACAAACACUAUUCAGAAGAAGUUCAAGGUGUCUUCGACCCAACUACUGUACCAAUCUUCCCCUUAUCAAGCACUGACCCUAUUUGUCAGCGGCCCGUUUCUUGAUGCUUUCUUAACGAAUCAAAACGUCUUUGCUUUCCAUUAUACACCUGAAGUUCUGGUAAGCAGUAAAAAUAUUAUUUAGAAAAUCCUCUUUUUUCUCAUUUUUCUUACUUUGUGAUAUAAAUCGGUUGCUUUUUGCUGCAGUUCUUCAUCACAUUGUCGUGCCUAAUAGCAGUAUCUGUCAACUUCAGCACCUUUCUUGUGAUUGGAAAGACGUCUCCCGUCACUUAUCAAGUCCUGGGCCAUCUUAAAACGUGCCUUGUUCUGGCUUUUGGCUAUGUUUUGCUUCACGAUCCAUUUAGUUGGAGAAAUAUACUUGGAAUUCUAAUUGCGUUGGUUGGGAUGGUCUCUUAUUCAUAUUUUUGCACCAUUGAAGGCCAGCAGAAAUCUAGCGAAGCAUCUGUGCAAGUAUCACAGGUACUGCCACUAGAAUUACAUUACAUUUGGUUGAUCACUAACUAGACUCUCCCAAGUAAUUGCUUGUUUUGAAGUGGGCAAGCGAAAUUUAAAACAUUAUGGUUUCAUCAAGUUAAAUAACCGAUAAAUUCUCACAGAGCGGUAAUUUAGACAAACAUCCCGGUAACAUUUAAACUUCGAAUUUUCGUUUCCCACUUCAAGAUGCCAUAAUAGUUUAGUUACCUUUUCCCUAAGGUAAGCAUUGAAAAACAAUGUACUGAUAGUCUGAUGCAAAUCAUGAGAGUUUCCUUUCUAAUAUAUCUGUAUUCUUUCUUUAAUGUUCUGAUCACAGGUAAAAGAAAGUGAAUCCGACCCCUUGAUCUCCGUCGAGAAUGGAUCUGGUCCUGUUAGCGACGGUGCUGCUCCGAAAGCUCCGAUGUGGAACUCCGACAAAGAUUUGCGUGCAUAAAAUUUUGCUCGGUCCGCAGAUUUUAUACACACAUCUGAAGUUAAUAGGGCUUCAGCUUUUAGGGGGUCGGAGCGCGACCCAGCCUACUUCACCCAGUCAAGUUAAUUAAGUUACCUAUCAAAGAAGAACUUGUAUUGAUUACAUUUUAUUCCUAUGCAAUUUUUGUCUGUGCUUUUACUAGGUAAGUGUAAAGAACACAUUAUUUUUCAGGCGUGGCGCCCUAAUUAAUGAAUUGUUUUUACCAGGUUUGCUUCUUCUGUUAGACUCAUCCAAUGCCUAUUUCUAGAGAUCGCUUCUAUUGAGCCAUUAACUUAAAAAAGCACUUCUUCUAUUAAACUGUAUUAGAAUAUUUUCACUUAUGAGACUACUCACACUAGGGAACCACAUAAGAUACAUGUACAUUGCUCACUCAGAAACAUGAUGUGCUGCUAAAAGACUAGCAAUUACUCUGUUGCUUUGGCUAAAAGACUAGCUUCUAAAUCAUCCUUUUCUUCUUCUCCAGCUACCCCAGUGAGCUUCUCAGCCCUCUCAGCCUGGGCCUCCCAAUCCAUGUUCCUCACCGUAUACAUCAUAAGGCCCGCGCACGACGCCUGGGCCGCCACUAGGCCCAGCCACAGCCCGAGAAAACCGAGCCCGAGCCUCAAGCUCGCAAGAACUGCGACCGGAAGCCCAACGAGAUAGAACGAGCUGAAGUUGAUGUUUGCGCCGACAGUGGGCCGCGCGCUCCCCCUGAGAACCCCGCAGCCAGCCGUCUGCGGGCAGUUUCCGAGCUCGCAGAAGCCCACUAUCGGGAGCGCUGCGGCCGUCAGCGCCAGUAUUUUUGGCUCGUCGGUGAACAUUCUCCCCCACGCAUGCCGCACCGCCACGGUGAAGAGAAAGGCCAGAAGCCCACAGGCCGCAGACGCGUAAAGGCCCACACUCGCGGCGAGCCUGGCCCGGGCCGGGCGGUGGGCCCCCAAUUCGUGGCCCACCCGGGUAGACAGGCCCAUGCUUAACGAGGACGGCAGGACGUAAACGAGACCCGUUGUCUGUAUCAAGACGCCCAUCGCGGCCACGUUGGGCUGCGGGUCGGGCAGCAGGCCGCAGAGGAUCAGCAUCACCUCAUACCACCACCACUCGAGGCACACCGAUACCGCACUCGGCACCGCGAGAGAAAUGAGAUGCCCCCAUUCCCUUAGGUCCCCCGGGAACGAGGCCCAUCCGGCCCACGGUUUCAGAACAUCGUCGAAGAGGAGGAGAAAGCCCAUCAGGCCCAAGUUGAUGUUUAUAGUGUUCCAGGCCGAGGCGAGAGCCACCCCUCGGACCCCCAAGCCCAUGUAGGACACGAGGAAGCAGUUGAUCGGCGCGUGGAGAAGGAUCGCGAAGGUGGCGCAGAAGGUGAGCGGCCUAGUUAAGCUUUGGGCCCUUAAGAAUAUCCUCAGCGGGUGUAAGCAGGCUUGGGCCAAGAGGUCGGGGAGCGAGAAUAGCAAAUAGUCGCGGGCUUGGGCCGUGAUUUCCUUAUCCUGGCCCAAGUAGAGGAGAAUCGAGUCCAUUUUGAGCCAGAGGAGCGAAAUGGGGGCGGCGGCGAGCAGGAGGAGGAGGAGAGUCUUCUGAAAGGCUUGGCCCAGCACGGCCCAUUUCUUGGCCCCAUAGGCCUGGCCGCAGAUGGGCUCCAUGCCCAUGGCCAGGCCCUUGAGCACGGAGUAGCCCGUGAUGUUGGCGAAGGCGAUGGCGAGGGAGCCGCCCGCCAGCUGGGCGUCGCCGAGGCGGCCCAGGAAGAGCAUCGAGACGACGGAUCUCGAGUAGAGGAGGAAGCUGGUGAUCAUGAUCGGCCACACGAGGCGGCCCAGCGACACCAGCUCUUCGCCUACCUGCACAUGCAGUAGAAAUAGUAAAUCACACAAUAACAUGCCAAAAAGUAAAAAAAAAAAAAAUAAAAAAAUAAAACAUUAUUAUCCAACUCUUAACGGCAUUUAUAACAUCUUAAAUGAACAACAAGCCAAGCCAUAAUAGUACUGCACGCAUUUCAUGCGCUUGCGUUUUAAUACUUAAAGCCAAAAAAAGGGUAGUUCUAAUGAUUCUUUUAAUAUAAGAUCUGUUUGUAGUUUCUGACUCAGUUUUAAAUGCUAAGAGUGUAAGCGUACGCACACCUCGUUGUAAGUGACUUCAUUACUCGGUAAUGUAAAGUUUCUAUCUCGAGAACAUUAAGUUUACUUGAGAAAAAUUCAUAGAAACUUCAUAGAUUCUAUUCUCAAAAUUCUAUAUUGGAAAUUGAACAAAUUCCUUGUAAAACAAAUUAUUGGUACAAUAACAACCUCGAACUUUUAAAUAGACAUUUCAAAUCCUUUAACUUUAAGAACAACUAAUUAAUACCACACCAAGACAAAUGGUAAUAAUAAUAAGAGAAGAAAAUAAUGCACACUAGCCACGAAUCUUCAUUCUGAAGACCAACAAAACUUUCUAAAGAGAGAAUUUUCAACUCAAACAUAGUCGUUACGCCAUAGUCUACGAUGAUAGUUGGCGUUUCGUACCGUACUAUUUUACUAACUGACAGACAGUUGCACGCGCAUGGAGCUAGUAGAAUUGUAACGCCAAGUACCUGGCGUGUGGACUGCCAUUGUCGUUACACGAGACAGACGCGUGCCGAGAGCUGCGCGCAGUGCAUGUGCACAGAAUUUAAAUUUUUGGAAUAAUUAGAAAGAAAAAAAGAAACAUGCAAGCAUAGAUUUGGCUUGACCUAUCAAAUGCAAUCUUGAAUUGCUAACUAUGAGCUCCAUUCUCAACGGCCAAUGGUCCCAUAAACCCUAAAAGCUAAAGUGACUAUGUAUAGACUCUCAUGCACCCAAGUUGUAAUGCCCUAGUUUCAAACAGCCCCUGUUGUAUUUGUGGGUGUAGAAUUGGGUGCUCAAAUGUUUGGUGCAUAGAGUUGGUGUAGUUGUCAUGCUAAAAGGCCCAUCUCAGCAAAGGCAUGGUCCAGGACAAGACAAGAGCAAACCCUACGUGAGGGAGGCCUCGUGGAGGUUGGCUUUAGCACUCUUUGCUAUGAUCACCACCUCUCUCUCUCUCUCUCUCUCUCUCUCUCUCUCUCUCUCUCUCUACAUACCAAGCCAUAUUGAUAAGCAAAAUUCUCUCUCUCUAUACAUGCCAAGCCACUUUGAUAAGAAAAAUAACUUGGGCUCUGUUAUGGAUACUUGAUCUUAUUAUCAUUAAUGUAUCCAUAUGUAUGUAUAAGAUGAGUAAUUUAUACGUCAUACAUUAGUAGGCCAACACAUCAGUAGCUCAUAAUAAUAUGAUCCAGUAGUUCUAUUCUGUACUGAUAUAAUUAAGUAUGGUUGCAUAAUUACAAAGGUGCCCAUAUAUACCUAGCUUAGAAAAAAUAGAGAAGCAUGGAGAGAGAGAGAGAGAGAGAGAGAGAGAGAGAGAGCACUAAACCACCAAGUUGACUCUCACUUUCCAUCUAACUCUCUAACAUAUUUCAACAUACAUUUAGUUAAUCUUUGCAAAAAAAGAAAAAAGAAAAAAAAAAGCUGUAGCUAUUAAUUAAAUGCAUGGUAUGAUAGAAGUUUCUAUAACAGAAGAAGAUAAGGAGAAAAGGUCAAAAAAAAAAAAAAAAAAAAAAAAAAAAAAAAAAAAAAAAAAAAAAAAAAAAAAAAAAAAAAAAAAAAAAAAGAAGAAGAAAAGAAAAGAAGGAAGAGGAGGAGGGACAUAUAUGAAGAUCAUAAAUAUAUGAAUAUGCACCUCAUGGAGAUUUGGCCACCCCAUUGAUCCAUCAUUUAGCACCUUCUCUUCUCCUUCACUCCCCUUUAGAUCUUCCGUCGCUCUCGUUGUCGCAACAACGGCGCCCUCGUCGCACGGCGCUCGAUCGGGCUUAUUGCUAUUGUCCAUGGAGGCUCAAUGUAAUCAACAAGAAGGAAAAUGUGAGAGUGAGAGGAUAAAGAGAGAGAGAGAACAAAAACUAUGGGAGAGUGAACAAAGUAAACGAGGUGCGUUGGGCUUUUUAUAGGGUGUAUAUAGGUGCAAAGAAGAGGAGAAGGGACAAAAAAAGUAAAGGAGCAUGUAUUGAAAUGUGGCAAGAGCUAGAGUGUUUUACUUUCUAACCGAAUCAUAAUCCUUUUCACUACUUACAUUUUAUGUUUGAUGCACAAAAAUUUAUCCCCGGAAUCCGUCGUUUACGUUAUUGCUUUAAGAUUCGAGCCAAUGGCGUGAUAGAACGACAGAUCAUGCGAUUUUGCGUUGGUUAAUUCUUCUUUUCUUUUCUUUUCUUUUUUUUUUCCGUACAGAGAGUUCCAUACAUGUGUUAAGACUAAUUCUUAAUUAUCUUUUCUUGAUAACCCACACAGACCCUCGGAAUUUACAAAAUUAAUCAACUGACGAACCUGUGGGAGAAGCUCAGUCCAGUGGAGCGACAUAACACUAACCGGUAGUGUCGGCCAAUAGUCGGCCAGUGUGUGUUGACCAGAUUGUUGUUUUUUUUUUUUUUUUUUUCGCCACCUCUCGAGGGCUAUGAUGUCUCAUCCAUGUUAUUUAAUUUACCGGCUGAAUGCCUCUUUCUCAAAAAAAAAUUUUUCUUUUUUCUCUUGAUCAAUUUUUUGAAUAAUACGGCAUCAGAACAAAUCACUAACUCUCUACAUUCCAAGAGACCUGCUUAUAUAUAAGUUAACUUUCUUAUAAUUUACCUGAUAUCAACUAUGACUGCAUGCAUGGAAAAUAUGAUUCCCACAUAAAGAAUAAAACCGUAACGGGGAAGUAAUAAUAAGAGUACAAUAAUAAUAUAGGGAACUGGGGUAAUAUUUAUGAACAAAGUCACAAUUUUGUACCAGGGAGCCUAAUUAGUAGAUAAUGCCUCUGUUGGAUCCCUAUUCUCUCUAUUCUUCGUAAUUAAUUAGUCUAACAUUUUAGAAAAUCACACUUUCUAAAACUGUUUGUUAUGAAUAAUAAUUAAGCUUAUUUCUACUCCAGGGAGCAAUUACAUAUGAAUUGCCAAAAUUAUUUUUUUUUUUUGUUCAAAUUACCAAAACUGUUUAUUUUAUAUAUUUUUACAUCGUUUUAUAAUGAUCUCUUAAAAUUUUCCAACAUUAAUCGAUCGAGUAGUAGAACACGAAUUUUUUCGAAUGGGUCGAUUUAUACUGUUCAAUUUACCUAACUCAAAUCAAACUCAUUUAUAUAGUUAGCACACUUACUUCACUCGAUUUUGUGGCUCGGCCUCAUCGAUCCGUUUUAUUAUGUCAUGUCUCCAUCUUUUUUUUAAAAUUAUUUUAUUUUUGAUGAAUAGGUUUGGUUUUCUUUCUUACUCUGAGCAAAUCACUUGUACAUUCAAAUGUGAGAUGUAAAUUUUAUAUCUGCAUAAAAUAAAAAAAUUAAAUACUUUUUUCAUAUUUUUAAUAUUAAAAAAAUUGAUAAAACUAGUGCCAUAAAAAUGACCAUUAGAUGAAAAAGGAUAAAAUUUACACCUAUCUUUUAGGUGUAGGAGGGGCAUUUCUCUAUCAUUAAUUGCCUUUUAUCUAUGCAUGUUAUGUAUAUAUGUUACUAUGGCAUCGAUCAACUGAUCUCAGCAUUGGUUUUGUGGCUCCAAGGAAAGAGUCUUAUUGACCUAAUGUGACUACGGUUUACGGUGUUUGAGGUUUACGGUGUUUGAGUCGGUACGAAAUCCCAUCCGUGAGAUAAUAAAUCCAAAUUUUCGUGUUUCGAUUCGUUAAAUCUUUGUAUGCUAUUUAUAUCAUAAAAAAAGUCUUAUUGACCUAAUGUGACUACGGUUUUCGGUGUUUGAGGUUUACGGUGUUUGAGUCGGUACGAGAUCCCAUCCAUGAGAUAAUAAAUCCAAAUCUUCGUGUUUUGAUUCGUUAAAUCUCAGUAUGCUAUUUAUAUCAUAAAAAAAGUCAUUUGUACAUUUAAAUGUGAGGUGUUUAUCUUAUAUCGGCACAUUCAAGAGUUUAAACACUCCUCUUAUAUUUUUAAUAUUAAAAAAUUAAAUAAAACUAGUAUGAUGAAAAUGACUAUUAGAUGCAAAAAUUAUAAGAUUUAUACAUACUUUUUAAAUAUAUGCGCAGCAUUUUUAUCUUUUCAAAAAAAAUAGAGAUUAAUGGUUCUUAAAACUAUAUAUGGGUUGCAUUUUAGUUUUCAAAUUUUAAUUUUUUUAUUAAAUACAGGUUUUUUUUUUGAAAAAAUAACACAUAAGUAUAAAGAUUAAAUGACAUGAACUUCAGUCCCAAGUGACAAACAUAACAUUGAAACUUGAUAGUUAUCGACCGUACUCUAAUAGUUUGAAUAAACUGAAGAGUGACAAAUUAAACAUCAAAGAUAUUAUCGUAUUUGGUAAAUUAAACAUUAUUAUAUGUUUCUAAUAAAACACAAAGUACCAAACAUAUAUAUAUAGGUUGCAAAGUUGCUAUCAUAGUGGAAAUAAACAGUUCAAUCGUACAGUUGCUCCAGCUUAAAGUUACUAAUUGUUUAUACCUAUUACCUAAAGUUAUCUCCUUAUUCUUAUUAGUUAUUAAUCUAAAGGUAAUUAAGUUUUGAAUUGCUUAAGCCCCACCUAUUGGAUUUUGACAACCCCACAAAGCUACAUAUAUUUUAUUAUUAUUAAGCAAAUUACGUGGAACAACUACCGCGUUUUGUUUAGGUAUUUAAUUAAUAUACCGAACCACGGAUUAAGAGUACACGUGGGUGCAUUGCUCAAUAAUAAUAAAAUUUUUUGCAGGCUCAAAUCGAGUUGAUCAUCUUAAUCUUAUACUUUCGUAUAAAUAAAUUAAUUACAGCAAAAAAUUAAGUGUAUAUAUAUACAUAUAAUUAAGAUCCUACUUUUUAAACUUAAUCCCGGAGCUAGCAUAGGGUUUUUGGCCCCAAACGUAGGCGGUUUGAGACAUACUAUGGGUGCAUGUUUUGUAUAGAAUAUAUUUUUACUAACUAAUAAUCACGGAGUUUUGGAGCAUAUAUAUGUUUCGAUCAUUGGUGAUGGCUCUUUCUGAUAUAAAAAAUUAAAGAUUAUUUUACUUUUUUACGUUUUAUAUUCUAAAUGACUAAUUAUGUUUCAAUCACGUGUUGUACUAUUGAGAUAAUUUUUAAUUGCACCGCUUUAAAUGAAACAAUAUAGGAGUGUUUAGCAAUCGCGUGAAUGCGAGCAAAAAACCAUGAUAAAGAGUGACGUUUAUUUAUGUGUGUAAAGAUGUAUGCCGCAGAUCCUGCAGUUUGUUUCAUUAGAAAGCAAAGUAUGUAUAUUUGUAUGCUUUGACUCUGAUCCGAGAAUGUUUAGUUCAUACUUGAAAUGAAAAUCAGAAUAAAAAUUUACGAUUUUUGAAAGAAGAUUUUGAUUAAGAAAAAUGAAACUGAUAAAGAGAGAGGAAAUAGGUGUCGGUAAAAAAGAAUUUUGAAUAAUUUACUAUAAAAUGAACUAAUCAGAAAUUUAAAGCCGGAUUGAACUAUAAAUAGAUUUAGUCAUCUCCAUUCCGGGAUGGAAUGAAAACCGAAAUUCGAUUCUUAUAAAAUAAAUAACAAUUAUCGAACUCAAUGAAUUUUAUUAUAAUAUUAUAAUUUAAAAUAGGUGAAUCAAACGUAUACUUCUUGAUCAGUACCGUUUGGUUCGGGUAUAAGCAAGAACUAGCUAUUACAGGGAUAGGUACAAGUAUGGGGAUAAGAAAAAUAGUGUUUGGAUGAAAAUUGGGUUGUUCCCGGGAAUAAGAAUAAUUUUAGAUAGUUUUAUAUAGAAAAUGAAGGUGUUGGUGGAGAUAACCGAGAACUACUAUUCUCGGAUAAAAAAUUACCGUUUGGGUAUAAAGGGAGGAUAAAGGCCUAUUCGUAUUCCUAUUCUCUAACCAAACGCUUCAGAGUCUCUAGCCAUGGAAAAGAUGAAUUUUAACUUUUUUGAGAAAAAAAUGUUUAUAGGAAAUUGAGCGAGCAUAGCACUACUCAACUAGUAAUCCUAGUCCCCAUCAAACGAGCUGGACUUGUGACUUAAAUUGAGGAGUAAAACUAGGGGCGGACGUGGAAUUGAAAAAGUAGCGUAAACAAACCAAUCCAAGUUGACAAUUUUGGUUUGAUAAUUUGAUUCGAUUUUGAUUGUAACUGUAACGUCGUAGUAGCCUCACAUUAGAUUAAAAAAAUAAUAUUGAUUGAAAUAUAUAAAAUCAUGCACGCUAAUAACAACAACUAGAUUUAAAUAUUUUGAACCGAUAGUUUAAGACCAACGAAUUAUCAUUACUAGCGGGUUUGGUCGUUAUAGUAAUCUGGUUCAAUUUUAAUUGUAAGUGGCCUACUUUUUGUUUGAAAAUUUUUCAAAUUAAUUUUUUUUGUCCUAGUAACCAACCAAAAUUUCAUGUGUUGGUGCAUGUAUCAAUAUAUAUAUAUAUAUAUAUAUAUAUAUAUAUAUAUAGAAUUAGGCUACUAUACUAUCUAUAGUACCGAGCUCCGGUACUAUAGUGUUUGUUUUCGAUCUUAGGGCGUUCAAAUCAAUGAUCCACACCGUUAAAUAUGAUCUAGGGUAUAUGAAUGUCUUAGGAAUAAAAUUUUAGUUUUUUUCGAUAUCGUUUACUUAGUAAAUAAAUUAUAUCAAAAUGGACGGUGGAAAUUGAAUAAUCUUUAAAAUUUGAGUAUAGGACUUUUAAAUUUAAGAUCAAGAAUGUUAACCUUAAUCUAUAUAGUUUAAAGUAUUUUCUAUCAAAAUUUGAAGAAAUUUAGAUUCUUCUACACCGUUAAACUCCAAACUUGUCAUAAUAGCCAUUGAAAAUUGACAAUUUUGAAAUAGUUUGAUCAUAAAGUAAACUAUGUCGAAAAAUUAUAAAAUUUUAUUUCUAGAAACUUUAAAUACCCUAGAUCAGUUUUAACGGUGUGGAUCAUUGAUUUGAACGCCCUAAGAUCGAAAACCAACACUAUAGUACCGGAGCUCGGUACUAUAGAUAGUAUAGUAGCCUAGCUCUAUAUAUAUAUAUAUAUAUAUA